rnacentral:lncRNA from 1 species
UUCUCUUUCUUACCUCGAAACCUGUCAACAGGCUGCUGCAGGCUUCGUCUAGUCCACCCUUGGUAGACUGAAUCUUCUCGAUCACCGCACCCAUAAGGACACGGUGCUCGUCCAUGAUAGAGGCGCUUCGAAGCGCCUCCAUCAGGUUAUUCGGCGCCCCUGGACGGACAAGGGCCACCGGUGGGAGCGGCGCAUCCCCCUCCUUCAAAGGGGGCCGCUCCCCCGACUCCGGGGCCAUAUGGGCCUCCGAAAUCAUAUUUGGCUGAGGGCCAAACUGUAUGCAGCCCUCUACGCCAAUCUCCAUGGGGAUCGGUUCCCCCAUGUGUUCAGCAAUGGAGGUCUCGCCCUGUGGCGCCUCCCGGACAGCAUCCUGGCCUCCUUCCCGCUUCGGUGCGGUCCUCCUGGAUAACACCUCGGUGUCGUCCCUGGCCCCGGGAGAAUAAGCAGGCGGUGGCGACAUGCUCGCCAUCUCCGACGGAGCCUGCGAACCUCCAGAUGAGGAUCGCUGGGUAAGGUCGCGAGCCAGACUACAAUAGGGCAAUUAAUUAAGUCAUAAUAAUAAAGAUAAAGGGCCGAAUGUGCGCAUGAGAGAGCCGUGUCACUUACGAUGCGGCCAGGGGCUUAGCACGGGGGCGUCUCUCUGGACUUCUGUCAAUGUCCCACGCGGUGUUGACCGCUAGGACGCUUUUCCCCUUCUUGGGCAUGUCCGCCUCCGGAUGCACCGAAGCCGCCCUCUUCUUCUUCCUCUCCUUAGGGGGAGGGUUGUUUUCCUCCUCCUCCUCCUCUUCCUCGCCAUAGUCCUUAGGGAUAGAAGAAUGGCCUUCGUCGUCUUCGGACGCCACGUUCGAAGUGCCCUUGCAACGGGGGACACCCUUGGCCCCCUUUGCCUUCUUCUCGGCCUUCUUCUCCGGCGCCUUAUAAGGCGCCGGCACCAGCAUCUUCGCUAGACGCGGGAUGACCGGUUCUACAAGUAGCGGAGCCGGACACUGGAUCCACUUCGCCCUCUCCAUCCAGUCCUGAAAAUGUAAUAAUAAGCUCAGACAUCAUCCUUGAAAUGAUUAAAUUGGGGAUGCAUCGAAAAUAGCAUACCUCACUGGCGAGGUGUCUACAAUCGUGACCACGGUCUGAAUCUGUGGUCGACGGCUUCUCGUUGCCCUUAAAGAGCAACUUCCAUGCGCCUUCGUGAGUAGACUCGAAGAGCCUCACUACAGACUGAUCCUUCUUUGGGUUGAACUCCCACAGAGGACGGCUUCGGCGCUGGCACGGAAGGACCCGGCGAACCAGCAUCACCUGGAUCACAUCAACGAGCUUGACCUUCUUGGUGGACAUGCUCUGGACUGAUACGUCUCCAACGUAUCUAUAAUUUUUGAUUGCUCCAUGCUAUAUUAUCUACUAUUUUGGGCAAUAUUGGGCUUUAUUUUCCACUUUUAUAUUAUUUUUGGGACUAACCUAUUAACCGGAGGCCCAGCCCAGAUUUGUUGUUUUAUGCCUAUUUCAAUGUUUCGAACAAAAGGAAUAUCAAACGGAGUCGAAACGGAACAAAAUCAACUGGAGAAGUUAUUUUUGGAACGAAAGCCACCGGAUAGACUUGGACUCCACGUCAGGAGAUAUAGGAGGUGCUCACGAGGGUGGGGGGCACGCCCACCCCCCUAGGGCGUGCCCCCUGCCUCGUGGGGCCCCCGUAGCUCCUCCGACGUACCCCCUGCACCCAUAUAUACCUACGUACACUAAAACUUCCAGAACGCAACAUAGAUCGGGAGUUCCGCCGCCAGAAGCCUCCGUAGCCACCAAAAGUCAAUCGGGACCCUGUUCCGGCACCCUGUCGGGGAACCCUCACCGGUGGCCAUCUUCAUCAUCCCGGCGCUCUCCAUGACGAGGAGAGAGUAGUUCUCCCUCGGGGCUGAGGGUAUGUACCAGUAGCUAUGUGUUUGAUCUCUCUCUCUCUCCCGUGUUCUUGAUUUGGCACGAUCUUGAUGUAUCGCGAGCUUUGCUAUUAUAGUUGGAUCUUAUGUUUCUCCUCCCCCUCUUCUCUCUUGUAAUGAAUUGAGUUUCCCCUUUGAAGUAAUCUUAUCGGAUUGAGUCUUUAAAGACUUGAGAACACUUGAUGUAUGUCUUGCCCUGGAUAUAUGUGGUGACAAUGGGAUACCACGUGCCACUUGAUGUAUGUUUUGGUGACCAACUUGCGGGUUCCGCCCAUGAACCUAUGCAUAGGGGUUGGCACACGUUUUCGUCGUGAUUCUCCGGUAGGAACUUUGGGGCACUCUUUGAGGUUCUAUGUGUUGGUUGAAUAGAUGAAUCUGCGAUUGUGUGAUGCAUAUCAUAUAAUCAUACCCACGGAUACUUGAGGUGACAUUGGAGUAUCUAGGUGACAUUAGGGUUUUGGUUGAUUUGUGUUUUCAGGUGUUAUUCUAGUACGAACUCUAGGGCUGUUUGUGACACUUAUAGGAAUAGCCAACGGAUUGAUUGGAAAGAAUAACUUUGAGGUGGUUUCGUACCCUACCAUAAUCUCUUCGUUCGUUCUCCGCUAUUAGUGACUUUGGAGUGACUCUUUGUUGCAUGUUGAGGGAUAGUUAUGUGAUCCAAUUAUGUUAGUAUUGUUGAGGGACUUACACUAGUGAAAGUAUGAACCCUAGGCCUUAUUUCCACACAUUGCAAUACCGUUUAUGCUCACUUUUAUCACUUGUUACCUUGCUGUUUUUAUAAUUUCAGAUUAUAAAUAUUCAUAUCUACUAUCCAUAUACCACUUGUAUCACCAUCUCUUCGCCGAACUAGUGCACCUAUACAAUUUACCAUUGUAUUGGGUGUGUUGGGGACACAAGAGACUCUUUGUUAUUUGGUUGUAGGGUUGCUUGAGAGAGACCAUCUUCAUCCUACGCCUCCUACGGAUUGAUAAACCUUAGGUCAUCCACUUGAGGGGAAUUUGCUACUGUCCUACAAACCUCUGCACUUGGAGGCCCAACAACGUCUCCAAGAAGAAGGUUGUGUAGUAGACAUCAAGCUCUUUUCUGGCGCUGUUGCCGGGGAGGUUAGCGCUUGAAGGUAUAUCUUUAGAUCUUGCAAUCGAGUCUUUUAGUUUCUUGUUUUAUCACUAGUUUAGUUUAUAAAAGAAAACUAAAAAAUGGAAUUGAGUUUGUCUCAUACGCUUCAUCUUUUUAAUAUCUUUCGUGAGUAUGAUGGAAAGGAUAAUUGUGCUCAAGUGCUAGAAGAAGAAAUCUAUAAAAUGUUUGGCACUAAAUAUGUGAAUAAUGAGCAUGAUUGCAAUGUUGUUAGUAUGAAUUCCUUGAAUAUCUAUGAUUCUAAUGAUAUGCAAAGCCACAAGCUUGGGGAAGCUAUGUUUGAUGAACAAGAUAUUUUUUGUCCCCCAAGUUUUGAUGAUCAAUUUUUUUAUGAUGAAAGCAUGACUCCUAUGUAUGAUGAUUAUUUUGAUGACAUGUAUGCUUUAAAGAAUAAUAAUAACAAUGAAACUUGUCAUCUUGAUUCUAAUUUUCAAUCACAUGAUAGUUAUUUUGUUGAGUUUUCUCCCACUAUUAUUCAUGAGAAGAAUUUUGCUUAUGUGGAGAGUAAUAAAAAUUCUAUGCUUGUAGAUCAUGAAAAGAAUGCUUUAGGUGCUGGUUAUAUUGUUGGAUUCAUUCAUGAUGCUACUGAAAAUUAUUAUGAGGGAGGAGCAUAUGCUUGUAGGAAUUGCAAUAAUAUCAAGUUUCCUCUCUAUGUGCUUAAAGUUUUGAAGUUAUCCUUGUUUUACCUUCCUAUGCAAGUUGAUUCUUGUUCCCACAAGUUGUUUGCUCACAAAAUCCCUAUGUCUAAACUAAGCAGAUGACAUCUUUAAUGUAUACAGUAAACAAUGCAAGGCACCAUAUGCAUGAUAUUGCCAACAUCAGCAUGCCAAGUUAGAGCGAAGACCUCAUGGGGUAAAUAGGAGUGGUCUUCUCCUUCUGAAUCCCCCUCAUAACAGUUAUCUUCCUCUUGAUUACGAUCCGAAAUGGGUGGAGGGGGGCUGCCUUUGCACCCACCAUGGAACGACGUAUGCAUGAAAUUUUACUGCCACGCAAGGCUCGUCUCUUUUGCUCUACAUGAUCAGUUCCAUUGUGUACAAUAACUGGCAUGCAUAGGAAUAAAACAUAGUGAGAUUAUGUAAGGAGUGCAUGCACAAAUCCAGAGUAAUGGUAACAAACUAUGGAUAGACCCAAAACCAAUGAUAGCAGGCAGAUAAUAGCUUUAGUUAAAAAAUACAGAUAAUGGCUCCUUUAAUGUUUGUUUGCACCCAACAUGAAACUCAUAGUAGACACCAGAGAUUAACCAGAUAGUAGACAUAUAGUACUGAUUGCUGCCCCAAUAUGUACCCCACAGCCAUUUAAAAACUCAAGUUUCAGCAUUAGUUUGGACCUGACUCAGAGUGUAAUAGGUGAACACGAUGAUAAUGUAGCAUGUCAUCAUAUUAAGUGAUGCAUAACGUAAGCAGACACGGAAGAGUGCGACCUCUCUUGCGGACCCGUGUAGUCCUCAAGGUCAUCUGCUCAGUUGAUGAUGGUAAUGCAGUUGCCGUGGCUGGCAGCAGCGGGGAAGAAGAUCUGAGGCGGUGAAAGACAGUCUGGAGAGUGGAUCCCUACUGUGGUGAACCCUUCCGUCAUUGGAGUAGCUGAGCUGGGGUGGAACACAGUGCCGCAGGAGCAGGACAAACCACACAAGGUUUUCUUUGACACAUAUCUUUAAUAGAAGUAAUUGAGUAAGGGCUUGUUUGAAUUUGAGGAUUCUAACAAUGCAGGGAUAGGAAAUAGACAGGAAUAGGAUAGGAAUGCACGUGCAAAAAAGAGAAUUUAAAAACACAUGAUUUCUGCCAAUCUGGGUGUUUGAUUCACAACAAUUGGAAGAUCACAGGAUGCAAAAAAGCAUGGUGAGAUUAAGUCAAACCACAAGAAAAUGUAUGGUUAUAAUGCUAUUAUGCUACUAUCUCUUAGUCUUGUGCUUGAUGAAUAAGAAUAUGAAAAGGAGGAGAAGUGGAAAUUAGAAUUCCUACAGUUUUUCUUUCAAGGAGACACUAAAGGAACAAAUCCUACAGUUUUCCUUUGCUCCAUUCCUUUGCACCAAAUUCAUGAAAAGUAGUACCAUAGGAAACUUUCCAAUUCCGAUGUUUUUUCAUUCACUUUUCCUUUCAAGCACUGGUGAUUCUAGUAGGCAGGCUUGAGCAAGGAAAAUCCUACACUAAAAAACAUGUGUUUGUGCUACUUCUAUUACUUUGGACCCAGGCCACUACCAUACUAGCUCAACUCCCAGGCCCAUUGACAAAUGCACAGCUCAAACGCGCAGAGAUAAAUAAUGAUGGCGGUCAAGAGAGUCCAUCACAGAUAGCUAAGUUGGCUGGUACCUCACUAUUUUCAUAUAGUAGGAUAAAAUAAUCCUAUUUCCCAUUACUACGAGUGCUUAGUGGACAAUAUAUAUAACAUGUAGAGUAAAAAAGAGAUGCAACGAGUGUACAACCUCUUUGGCGAAGCCAUGUCGAUCUCAGCGUGAUUGGGUUGGCCGGUGAGGAUGCUCCGGCUGACUUGGCUGUCGGAGGAGGGGAAGAAGAUCCUAGGCGUCUGGAGAUGGAUCCCAAGGUACUGCUCCGCUGUCAUGGAGGGUUUUGUCGUUGGAGCAGCUCCGGUGAGUUGUACGACGCCGAGGCUGAAGCAGGACAAGAGAGACAACGAACAACGUUAACCUGAGUGGAAUUCUAAUAGCAUCUCCAAUACAUGAUGUAAAAUACAUAAACACAAAGUGCUAGAUGUAAAAUACAUCAGCCGCUCAUCUCUGAACUUAACUGUCGAAACUGAACUUAACUGUCAAAACUGAAUUUUGCUGUCGAAACUGAAUUUUGCUGUCGAAACUGAACGCACUAGCAAGGUGAGGCUACACGUUGGUUGACUGACUUUUUCAUCUCUGGUCAGUCGAUUUUGCAGCCGUUGGAUACGAAAUUAAGGGCCUGCGGUUCAUCUUCAACCUCCACCCCCCUGAGCCGGCCAAACAGCAGCCCCCCGCCGCCCGCGGCCGGCGGUGCGCUGCCCCGCCCGCCCUGAAAACACUCCCCACCACCGGUCCGCCGCCGCUCCGGCCAUCCCUCUAGCCCCCCCCCCUGUGUCGAGCUUUUUCUCUGGUGAUCCCCACGCCACCGCCCCGCCAAUGCCCCGCCACCGCCGGCGACCACCGCCCCCAUCCUGAACCCUCAGAUAUAUAGUGGGGUACCUCUCCGGCGAGCCCCCCUCCCCGCUGUGGCUGGUUCUUCCUUCACCCCGGCGGCAUCGGAGUGAAGUGUAGCUAAAUUGGAGCAGCAUCGCAAGCAAGAGCAAGAGCGAGAGCAGCAGUGCGAGCAAGAGCAAUAGCAAGAGUAGGCCAGGCAGGGGACCGAGAGCAAGAGCAGAGCAACAGCGCGAGCGAGAGCUAAAGCAGCAGCAGGUCCUACUGAUGUGGACAUCGCCGCCGAGGGAGCGACUCCGUGGAGGAAGUGGCCGGCGACGCCGCUGUGGAUGGAGCCGCGCCGUGUCGGCUCGGGACCGAGCGCCGGCAGCACCGAGAGAUCGAAUCAAGAAGAAAAUGCGGUGAUUAGUGUACAACCUCUUUGGUGGCGCCGAUUAGGCUGCAGCUUCAUCCGAGGAAACAGUGAUGAUGAUGCUCUUCCGGUGGUGCAGGUGAAGACGGCGGUGUGGGAAUGGAGGUGGCGCAAAAGACGAGGGGAACGUCGGGGCAGCUCCUUGGAGGUGGAGGACAGGGUGGAUGAACCGGCGGGACGAUGAGAUCGACGACGGAUCCUCAUCCGGUACGGUGGAUGAGGGACGUCGAGGUGUUGCUGUGGACGACGUCAUCGGGGAAGAGGCUCCGGCUGGGUGGCGUACGGAAAAGGGUGUGGGGUUUCAUCGCGGGUUUUCGCGGCCUCGGUGUACGAAUGGGUGGGCGGAUGGGAUGGCAGUGGGGAACUAUGGCUUAGAGACGCGCUUGUCCGAAAUGUGGGGUAAGUUACAAAAGUACCCCCACCGAUUUGAGGCGGUUCUUUCGGUUCAGGGGUACCACGGGCAUUUCACGUGUCGGGAUUUCACAGGAGGUGGGAGUUUUCGCGCGUGUUGUAAUUUCGGAAUAUAGCAAGGCGCGGGUUGAGAUGGAGGGAGUUGUCGGAGCACAACGAGACAAAGAUAUAUCUUAAAUAUUUCGGGCUAACAAGGCGCGGGUUGAGGAGGCGGGAGUUUCGCAACAUGAUAGACAGAGACGCUAGCUUGACUUUUCGACAUAACAAGGCGUGGCUUGAAAUUUCGGAAGAACAAGCUUAACGUGUACCCAAAAAAGACAAUUUGCACCUCAACACGCACAACACACACACAAACACCAUUUAGACUAGAGUAAGGUACACGUGCAUUGCACGCAUGAGAUUUGGCAACCAAAUUAUGAAUAAAUACCACAUUAUAGCAUGCAAGCUUUGAGUCAUAUAUGCAUGAUGUAGAUGUUCGUUUAAUUCUUAUAGUUCAUUUCAUUCAAAAUCAUAUAGUUUUUAUAAGAAAGCUAAUCUAUUUUAAGAUUCAUGGAAUUGUGCGUCGUAAGACAUAAAUUAAAAACAAAUAAUGGCAAAUCAUGUAGAAAAACAUUUGGGCAAUUCUGGUACGGAAGAUUCUAGAACAAAUAAGAAGUGCGUGUGUUUUGAUGUUUGUGCAUUAUGCUUAAUUUCAACCAUGGAGUCUUCUAGAUUAUACAUGUGGCGAAAUCUGGUGGAAUCUAGAUGAUAUCCAAUGGCCAGUAGUGCUCAAAUUUGCCAUCUUUGGACCAUCGGAUUCGCCUCAUCCAACGACCAUCUUUCAAAGUUAAAGUUACCCGCACACAAUAUAAAAAAUAUAUAAAAUAUAAUAUAUAUAGGGGUAUAGAUAUAGAUAUGUGAUGCAAAAGCCGCCCAUCAUCUCCAAUUAGAAUAGUGUGUCCAUGCACAGAUGCGACGUGGCCAAAUGAUGUCUUCCAUCGGUAUCUCAAAUUCAAAUUAGUCUGACCUUGUUCAAUGUGUAUACAUUACAUCAUGCUCGUUUCCAAACCACACCGCGCAGAUCUCCGUUAUAUUCAUGCAUGCAUGGGUUUCAAACAUCAGGAUCUCUUAUUCAAAUAUUUGAAUUCAACUUUACAUUGAUUGUGACCUCACCUAUUCAGCUAUUCUUUUACACCCACACAGUAGUCUUAUCUUUGUAAUUGUAGCACUAACUUCCUCUCGUGCAUGCAUGCACACACACACUACCAGUCGGCAUUAUCCAUCGCAUGCAUGCAAUCUUUUUCUUCAUGUCGGUCUCCCAUGAAGGCACACACCAACACACAUCCCCCUCUCCAUCAUAUUGGGCAUUCUUUAUCUCUCACGCGUGCAUGUGCAACGAUCGAUGUUCCUCUAUGUAUGUGUGUAUAUAGCUAGGUCUUUCAUAGUUUUCCGCACAAACUGAUACAUCGAUAUAUCCAGUGAGGUCUCACCCUCUUUCCCACGUCCGCAUCGAUCAAUCUAUACCUCUCUAUAUAGGAUUAACAUAUAUAGCUAAUACACCCACAUUAAUUAUGUAUCCAACGUCCCCCUCUCAUCAUCCAUGCCUUCCGCUUCAUCUCUCAGACGCGUGCACAAUGGCGAAGACAGGGGGCAGUAAGGGCCCUGCCACCCUCCCCCCUAACAUCACUACAUAUCAAGGCUAAUAUGAAUGUGAUCAUUAGACAAUUGCUGCUAAAAAUGGUUUAAGUUCAUGAAUUGACCCUCCUAGUAAAGGAUUAGCAAUGCUUGGCCCCUAGCUCAUUUAUCUUUCAUGGCUCCGCCACUGCGCGCAUCAGCGCACGUGUUCGCCCCCUCUCUCUAAAUAUCGAUCUCGCACUUGUGCAUUCCUUCAUAGUCUCCCUCCACUCGGCCCCUCGCACCAUCUUAUAGCUCCCCACCAGAUUUUUCCACAUGUACAAUCUAGUAGACUCCAUGGUUGAACUUAAGCAUAAUGCAUAAACCUCAAAACAACAGUGGUUCUCUUUUGUUCUAGAAUCUUCCGUAUCAUAACUGCCCAAACUUUUUUCUAGUUGAAUUGCCAUUAUUUGUUUUUACUUUAUGCUUUACAACGCACAAUUCCAUGAAACAUAAAAUAGAUUAAGGGCUUCUUUGAUUCAAAGGAUUCUCAAAGGAAUUUUGGAAGAUUCUAAUCAUUAGGAAUUUUUCCUAUCUUGGUUGUUUGAUUCGUAGGAUUGUAAACCAUAGGAUUUUUUCCAUAUGAUUCAUUCGCACUAGAUUUCAUAGGAAACAUCCCAUCCACUCAAACCUGUUUGAAAGAAUUAUGAGUUUUUUCUAUGCACAAUCAAACACUCGUACAAUCCUGUAGGAUUCAAGACGACAUUCCACUAUAAUCCCAUGUUUUUUCCUAUUCUCACAUUCUUAGCUUUUUUAUAAAAAUUAAUUGAUUUUGAAUGAGAUGAACUAUAAGAAUUAAACAAGGGAUACAUCAGGCAUAUAUGACUCAGAGCUUACAUGCUAUAGUGUGGUAUUUAUUCAUAAUUUGGUUGCAAAAUCUGAUGCGCGCAAUGCACGUGUACCUUACUAGUACUUCGAGUAUGUGCAAAACACGUAAAUUAGAAUACCAAUGGCAUACUACACAGUGUCUCUCUUACAGUUCACGAAGCCACGUGGCACAUGUGUAGGCGUUGUCGCAGCCUCCUUGCGUGGAUUGAUCACAGUGACGUGCUGCUGGUUCCAUAAGAAUGUACUCGUCCUCCCUGAGCCAUACUGGCGGUACAUGCAGGAAGCGAAGAUGUGCACACACGCCAUGCACGCACUCAUUCCUCGCACGCACACGCGGGUACACGGGCGGACGCAAUUUUUUACCAAGAUCCACCCCAUGUGAUAAUUUGACGUGUGUAAAAUCGUUCACUUCAUUGAUGGUCAAUUAAUACAGCGCAUGCAAAUCGAGUGGAUGUGAGGGCGGAAGAAAGACAUUAUUACUCCACUGCACGCAUGCGAGUAGUUAAUUCAUGGGUUGCUAGUAGUACUUCCAUUGGUCUCCUUCAUAUUGUGUGCCAAUUUUUGACAGUAACAUAACAUUUACGCAUUUGAGCAGUGUAGUACUUGAAAUUUAUGUUCCGCUAAACUCAUCGGGAGCCGUUUCGGGACUCGAAACCAAAACCAUCAAUUAAUCUUUACCUUGUUCCCAUCACAUUCGAAAGCCUGCUCACACCUACUAGUAGUACGUACUAAACCUGAACGUGUUCCCACUAUGCAGGUAUUAGUACUAGUGCUAGUACUUAGGUUAUAAAAAGGGGAACUACCUAACCGAAAAUCACUCUACCUUUCCUCCUCAUAAGUGAUUCUUCUUCGUCUGUCGUUGCCAUGGCCGGUGAGCAGAGCUCUAGAUCAAGAACUACUCGUAACAAGGGAGCGACAACCAAGGCUACGGAAAAAAAAGAGGGCUCGCCGCCACGCAGAGACCUUGAAAGAUCUCUCACGGGCAGGCGAUGGCUCCCAGGAGCGCCUGUAACACCCCGGAUGUAAUUUACCUUAUAUGUAUCCCAACUUUUGCCGUUUCCGGCGCUAAGUUAUUCUAUUUCCUCGGGUUCGGGUUUUUGUCUCCGUGUGUUGUUGCCUUUGUCAUGCAUCUCAUAUCAUGUCAUCAUGUGCAUUGCAUUUGCAUACGUGUUCGUCUCAUGCAUCCGAGCAUUUUCCCCGUUGUCCGUUUUGCAUUCCGGCGCUCCUAUCUCCUCCGGUGCCCCUUUCUACCUUUUUUUUCCGUGUGUGGGGGUUAAACAUUUCCAGAUUGGACCGAGACUUGCCAAUCGGCCUUGGUUUACUACCGGUAGACCACCUGUCAAGUUUCGUACCAUUUGGACUUCGUUUGACACUCCAACGGUUAGCCGAGGGACCGAGAAGGCCUCCUUUGUGUUGCAGCCCAACACCCUUCCAAUUUGGCCCAAAACCCACCAAACCUCUCCCAUCAUCUAGAGCGUUCGAUCACGAUCGCGUGGCCGAAAACCGCACUCUAUUUGGACCUUCCUAGCUCCCUCUAUGCCUAUAAAUAGAUCCCCUUCCGAAAUCACGGGUCUUCUUCCCCGAAACCCUAGUUUUCCACCUAAGCGCCGCCGGACAUGUCUGGAGCCGCGCCGGACAAAUCCCCGCCGCCAACCGCCGCCUGACACCUGUCGCCGCUGCCCCCGCUGACCGCACGGCCUGCUGAGCCCACGCCCGGCCCCCGCGGUCCAUCGCCUCCCGCCGCCGCCUGCUUCGUCUCAGNNNNNNNNNNNNNNNNNNNNNNNNNNNNNNNNNNNNNNNNNNNNNNNNNNNNNNNNNNNNNNNNNNNNNNNNNNNNNNNNNNNNNNNNNNNNNNNNNNNNNNNNNNNNNNNNNNNNNNNNNNNNNNNNNNNNNNNNNNNNNNNNNNNNNNNNNNNNNNNNNNNNNNNNNNNNNNNNNNNNNNNNNNNNNNNNNNNNNNNNNNNNNNNNNNNNNNNNNNNNNNNNNNNNNNNNNNNNNNNNNNNNNNNNNNNNNNNNNNNNNNNNNNNNNNNNNNNNNNNNNNNNNNNNNNNNNNNNNNNNNNNNNNNNNNNNNNNNNNNNNNNNNNNNNNNNNNNNNNNNNNNNNNNNNNNNNNNNNNNNNNNNNNNNNNNNNNNNNNNNNNNNNNNNNNGUCGCGCCCGGCCGCCGGCCGCCUCGCCUCGCCGUCAUCCGCCGCGGCCGAGCCCCGCCUCCGCCGUCCACCUCGUCGCCGGUGGACGUCCGACCACCUCCCCGCUCCGGCCACUUCUUCCUCGCCCGCCGCCGCUGUCUACAGGGAUCCCGGUGAGUCUCCGGCGAGAUCCACCACCGUCUCGGGAAACGCGCCCGAUCCGAUCUGGAAAUUGAGGGUUGACCUAAUCUUGCCCUUUCACCACUAUUUUCUUUCAAUCUUUGGCAUGUCAUAACUUUGCAUCAGUAGCUCCGAUUUGCGCGUGUAGCAUAUCAAAAUGUUCGUCUUAGGGAGUACAUCAAUUUGAGCUCAUCUUGAUGCCCGAAAUGCUGUUGGAAGAGGGCUAUGUGAUAAAAUUGUCAGAUCUGUUUCAUCAAAUAGAUAUUUGUCAUUCCUGAGCUCUACAUGAGUUUUGUUAUAUGCCAUGCCAUCUUUACAGAGGUGCUUACCAUGUAUUUUUUGUGAUAUGUGUGGUGACUAGCACAAGCUUGCAAAGUAGUGCAAUCGGUAAUGCUGUUUUCAGGGACUUAGAAUUUCUCUAAGUCCUUGUCCUGAUUUUGUCAUUAUGCCAUAUGUUCAUGUUGUUUCCUAGUGAUCCGUUCCUCUUUUGAGGAUGAUCAGUAAGGAUGAUUUGUUAAUAUUGUGGUGCUCUAUCCAUCCAUGUCUUUGUUUGCAUUUAUGGAGCAUCCUAGCUUGAGUCAGUCGAGCUCUACUUUUGUUAUUUCGUGAAUCCUGGCAGAUUGUUGUCUUGUUAGCGAUUUUGCCGAGGAUGUUGCUAUUGAUCCGUGCAUGCUAUGUUGUUGUUCUUGCCAUGUCUAGCUUCUAUGCCAUGUAUUCUCGAUGGGUGUCUGCUUAGUUUGUCAUGCCAUGCUCUGUAGUGAGUGCAUCGAGCUCGUGAACAUGCCUACGCGUUAACUGUUUUGCAUGCUCCAGUUUUUCACUAAGUUUGUAAUCUGAUUAUGUUUUUGCCAUGAUCACAUGCUUGCAAUUAUAUUUUCUGAUCCCUUUUGGCUCAAGGUCACUAAGGGACUUUUGUUAUGUGCUUUGAGUAGCUUCAUGUAAUGCCUUGAUUUGACAUGUUAAGUUCCUGUAGCAUGUAGUUUUUAUGCUCCAAAGUGUGCUUCCUGAUGUUAAAUUCCAGACUUGUGUUAGUUUCACUAAGUCUAAAACCUGUUACCAUUUGCACUUUUGCCAUGCUUGUUUGAACCUGUUAAGGGAUGAAUUAGCCAUAGCUCAGUGUUCAUAUUUUGUCAAGCAUCAUGAGUGGAUCCCUGCCAUGUAUUUUGUUGUCAUGUUUGAGUGCUGUAGCAUAAUUAUCUUUAUGCAUUUAAAUGGCUACUUGCUGAUUAUCGCAGACCGGUGCCAUAUUUGUUUCGCUUGCCAUUUCUAAACCGUGCAUCCGAUUCUGGUGAUCUUUAUAUCAAUUUCAACCGAAAUCACCUCACCUUUCCAGUGGCACUCUUGGAUUUCCAAGUUGAGGCCAGGUUCAAUCAAUCCUUGUCAAAUCUUGCAUAUGCAUCACAUACCGCAUCCCGCAUAGCAUGCCAUGUUUGCAUCAUGUUUGUUUGGGCAUUGCACAUGGUUGAUUGUGUUCGUUCUGCUUGUUUGUAUUGUUUGGGUAGAGCCGGGAGACAAGUUCGUUAACGAGGAGCCCGUUGAGUUUGCUUACGAGGAUAAAGUCAACUCCGACAACUUUGCAGGCAAGAUGAUCAUACCCUCGAGAUCACUUCUACCUUUGCUUGCUAGAUGCUCUCUCUUUUGCUAUGCCUAUGCUACAAUGCCUACCACUUGCUUAUCAUGCCUCCCAAAUUGCCAUGUCAAACCUCUAACCCACCAUGUCCUAGCAAACCGUUGAUUGGCUAUGUUACCGCUUUGCUUAGCCCCUCUUAUAGCAUUGCUAGUUGCAGGUGAAGAUUGGAGAUCGUUCCUUGUUGGAACAUUGUUUAUUGUUGGGAUAUCACUAUAUUAUCUUGUUAUCUUAAUGCACCUAUAUACUUGGUAAAGGGUGGAAGGCUUGGCCUUUUGCCUAGUGUUUUGUUCCACUCUUGCCGCCCUAGUUUCCGUCAUAUCGGUGCUAUGUUCCCGGAUUUUGCGUUCCUUACGCGGUUGGGUUAUAAUGGGAACCCCUUGACAGUUCGCCUUGAAAAAAACUCUUCCAGCAAUGCCCAACAUUGGUUUUACCAUUCGCCACCUAGCCUUUUUCCCUUGGGUUUCGCAGACUCAAGGGUCAUCUUUAUUUUAUCCCCCCGGACCAGUGCUUCUCUAAGUGUUGGUCCAACUGAGCGAUGUCCGAGGCUACCAGGGGCAACUCUGGGCUGGCCUACCCGACGUCUUGCUCAUUCGGUGUGCCCUGAGAACGAGAUAUGUGCAGCUCCUAUCGGGAUUUGUCGGCACAUCUGGGUGGUUUUGCUGGUUUAGUUUUACCAUUGUCGAGGAUGUCUUGUAAAACCGGGAUGCCGAGUCUGAUCGGAAUGUCUCGGGAGAAGGAAUAUCCUUCGUUGACCGUGAGAGCUUGUGAUGGGCUAAGUUGGGACACCCCUGCAGGGUUUUGAACUUUCGAAAGCCGUGCCCGUGGUUAUGGGCAGAUGGGAAUUUGUUAAUGUCCGGUUGUAGAUAACUUGAAACUUAACUUAAUUUAAAAUGAAUCAACCGCGUGUGUACCCGUGAUGGUCUCUUCUCGGCGGAGUCCGGGAAGUGAACACGGUGUUGGAGUAAUGCUUGACGUAGGUUGUUCUAGGAUCACUUCUUGAUCAUAGUUCUUCGUUCGUGCUUUGGCUUCUCUUCUCGCUCUCUUUUGCGAACAGGUUAGCCACCAUAAAUGCUAGUCGCUUGCUGCAGCUCCACAUAUUACCUUGCCUUUCCUAUAAGCUUAAAUAGUCUUGAUCGCGAGGGUGCGAGAUUGCUGAGUCCCCGUGACUCAAAGUUUACUUCCAAAACCAGAUGCAGGGACCGAUGAUACCGCUCCAGACGAUGCGCUUGAGCUCAAGUGGGAGUUCAACGAAGACUCUCGUCAUUACUACAUGUCUUUCCCAGAUGAUCAGUAGUGGUGCCCAGUUGGGGCGAUCGGGGACCGUGUCGCAUGUUGGGGUUGAUCUUUUAUUUUGGUACCGUAGUCGACCAUGAGUGUAUUGGAUGAUUGUAAUGUUAUUCAUGUAUUUGUGUGACAUGGCAAGUGUAAGCCAACUAUGUACCUUUUCCCCUAUUAUCUAUUUACAUGAGUUGUUGUGAAGAUUACCUUACUUGCGACAUUGCUUUCAAUACGGUUAUGCCUCUAAGUCGUGCUUCGACACGUAGGAGAUAUAACCGCAUCGAGGGCGUUACAAGAUGUUUCAGAAGCUCUCCCGUUUUGCUAAGCAGGACGUCCCUGACGAGAAGAGCAUGAUAUACCAGUUCAGGGGUGGUCUCAGAGAAGAAAUCCAGCUAGCUCUCGUUCUCUUUGAGCCCAAGAGGUACGAUGAGUUUAACAACAUGGCAAUGAAGCAAGAGACUGCUCAACUGAAGUGUGAUGCUUCCAAGAAGCGAGUCAGAGAUGCUACUCCUUCUUCCUCAACUCAAGUGGCUAAGCAACAGAAGUAUUGGCUUCCUCCUCCUCCGUUCCGUCAGCCUUAUCAGUAGAAGAUCAAAGGUGGCAGUGGAUCUUCCCACCCACCCAACCCUGGCUUUCAGAACAAGGCUUUGUCUCAAGCUCCAAGAUCAAGUGCUCCGUAUCACCGUUCGCUCUUGGAGGUCACGUGCAACAAGUGCCAACAGAAGGGUCACUAUGCCAACAAAUGCUUCAAUCAGAGGCGUCUCCCUCCUCCUCCCCCUGUGAGAUCGGCAAGUACAGCUGUGGUCAAGCAUAACCCCAAGUCUCCUAAGGUCAACUUGUUGAACGCAGCUCAGGCAGAGGACUCGCUAGAUGUGAUUAUGGGUAACCUUCCUGUUAAUGACAUUCCCGCAAGAGUUCUUUUUGAUACUGGUGCAUCUUUGUCAUUUUUAUCGAAGCCUUUUGCAUCCAUGCAUGAAUGUGCAUACUGUUGAUUUGCCUAAGCCGAUAGCGGUUUCUUCUCCGGGUUUGUUCAUGAACACCAAAAUGAUGGCUCCGGAUGUUACUAUCACGUUGGGCGAUUACAAGUUUCUUUCUUCUCCAAUGGUCCUUGGUAACUCGGAUAUUGAUCUUAUUCUUAGUAUGGAUUAGCUUUCUAAGCACAAGGCUCAGCUUGAUUGUGCUGCCAGGCAGAUUCAAUUGACUCAUUCGUUUGAGGAUGUAAUUGUCUUUGCCGCUUGUGAUGAUACCAUCCGUCUAUUUUCUCUCAAUGAGAAGGGUGAACUGGAUGCCAUCUCUCAAAUUCCAGUCGUUUGCGAAUAUCAAGACGUCUUUCCAGAAGAGCUUCCAGAAUGCCUCCACACUGGCCAGUUGAAUUCGUUAUCGAUCUUGAGCCUAGCACGGAACCUGUUUGCAAACAUCCUUACAAGCUUGGACCUGAAGAGCUGAAGGAGCUGAAGAAGCAACUCGAUAUUCAAGAGCGAAUGGGUCUCAUCCGACCUAGUUCUUCUCCAUGGGGUUGUGGAGUUCUUUUUGUGAAGAAGAAGGAUGGAACCGACCGACUUUGUGUUGACUAUCGUCCAUUGAACAAGAAGACUAUAAAGAACAAGUACCCACUUCCCAACAUCAAUGAGCUGUUCGAACAACACAAAGUUGCUCAAGUAUUCUCCAAGCUUGAUCUCUGUAUGGGCUAUCACCAGAUUCGAAUCCGUGAGCAAGAUAUUCCCAAGACGGUGUUCAGAACAAGCUAUGGUUCAUAUGAAUACACUGUCAUGUGUUUUGGCCUCGUCAACGCUCCUCCGACUUUCUCUCGCAUGAUGAACUUCAUCUUCAACGCCUACACAAAUGACUUCGUCUUGGUCUACCUCGAUGACAUUCUGGUCUUUUUGAAGAACAAGGAAGAUCAUGCCAAGCACUUGCGUCUGGUGCUUGAUAAGCUCAGAGAACAUUAGUUCUACACCAAGUUCUCAAAGUGCGAGUUUUGGCUCGAUGAGGUUCUCUAUCUUGGGCAUAUCAUCUCUGCCAAGGGCAUAGCGGUGAAUCCUGAGAAGGUGUCUGCAAUUGUGAAUUGGGAACCACCUCGGAACGUGAAGCAACUCCGCAGCUUCCUUGGUCUCACAAGCUACUAUUGAAGGUUCGUUGAGAACUUUUCAAAGAUCGCGAAGCCACUUUCCAACCUUCUCCAGAAGCACGUGAAGUACGUUUGGUCUCCGGAAUGUGACAUCGCUUUCAACACUUUGAAAGAGAAAUUAGUCACUCCUCCAUUUCUGACUCCUCCGGAUGAAUCCAAACCAUUCGAGGUCUUCUACGAUGCCUCCCUUCAAGUUCUUGGUGCAGUGUUGAUGCAAGAGAAGAAAGUUGUGGCUUAUACCUCUUGCCAGUUGAAGCCCAACAAGAAGAACUACCCCACUCAUGACCUCGAGUUGGCGGCAGUUGUGCAUGCUCUUUUGACUUGGAGAUAUCUCUUAUUGGGAAGAAAAGUGGACAUCUUCACUGACCAUAAGAGUCUCAAGUACAUCUUCACUCAGCCUAAUCUCAACCUUAGGCAGACUCGUUGGGUCGAAAUGAUUCAAGAGUAUAAUCCUAGCAUCGAAUAUACUCCAGGCAAGGCCAAUGUGAUUGCUGAAGCAUUGAGCAGGAAGGCUUACUGCAACAGUCUGAUUCUCAAGCCCUACCAACCCGAGCUUUGUGAAGCUUUCUGCAAACUCAAUGUGCAAGUUGUUCCUCAAGGUUUCCUCGCCAACCUUCAAGUCUCUCCUACUUUGGAAGAUCAGAUUCGUGAGGCUCAACUUCUUGAUGCUAUGGUGAAGAAGGUGAAGAUUGGGAUUGCCAAGAGUCAACCCAAGUACAAGUGCUAUCGCCUUGAUGACAAGGAUACUCUCUUCUUCGAGGAUCGCAUUGUUGUGCCUAAAGGUGACCUUCGUAAAGUCAUUAUGAAUGAGGAUCACAAUUCACUCCUCUCCAUCCACCCUGGGAGUACGAAGAUGUACCAGGACCUCAAGCAGACUUAUUGGUGGACUCGAAUGAAGCGCGAGAUUGCUCAGCUCGUGAAUGAAUGUGAAGUCUGCAGGAGAGUGAAGGCAGAACACCAACGACCAGCUGGUCUCCUCCAACCUCUUGCCAUUCCAGAAUGGAUGUUUGACCACAUUGAGAUGGACUUCGUGACUGGGUUUCCAAAGUCCAAGCGUGGCAAUGAUGCUAUAUUCAUUGUCAUCGACAAACUCACUAAAGUGGCUCAUUUCCUGCCUAUCAAAGAGUCUAUCACUGUAGCUCAAUUGGCGGAGCUUUAUACCUCUCGGAUUGUCUCUCUGCACGGCAUUCCACAGUUGAUCUCUUCAGACCGUGGCAGCAUCUUUACCUCCAAGUUUUGGGAUUCUUUUCAGAAGGCCAUGGGCACCAACAUCCGUUUCAACACAGCUUUUCAUCCUCAAACUAGCGGUCAAGUCGAGCGUGUCAAUCAGAUUCUCGAAGAUAUGCUCAGGGCUUGCGUUAUCUCUUUUGGCAUGAAGUGGGAAGAUUGUCUUCCAUAUGCCGAGUUCUCCUACAACAAUAGCUUUCAGGCGAGUUCGGGCAAGGCCCCAUUUGAAAUUCUCUAUGGCAGGAAGUGUCGUACUCCUCUUAACUGGUCAGAGACUAGUGAACGUCAACUUCUUGGAAAUGACUUGAUCACAGAGGCAGAGGAAAUGUGCAAAGUCAUUCGUGAUAACCUCAAAGCAUCACAAUCGCGCCAGAAGAGCUACUAUGAUAGUAAGCAUCAUGAUUUGGCUUUCGAGAUCAGAGACCAUGUUUACCUCCGCGUCUCUCCAAUGAAAGGUACUCGUCGCUUCGGUAUCAAAGGGAAGCUUGCCCCUAGAUACAUGGGUCCUUUCAAGAUCAUCAGCAAGAGAGGCGAUCUCGCCUAUCAACUCGAGCUUCCUUCAAACUUUGCUAAUGUGCACGACGUGUUCCAUGUCUCUCAGCUCCACAAGUGCUUCAAGACCCCUGACCGUACCGUCAACUUCGAAGACAUUGAUCUCCAAGAAGACCUUUCUUAUCGUGAGCACCCAGUUGCUAUUCUUGAAGAGACUGAACGCAAGACUCGCAAUAAGUCAAUCAAAUUCCUCAAAAUCAAGUGGUCACACCAUUCCGACCGUGAAGCCACCUGGGAACGCGAGGAUCACCUCCGUUCUGAGUACCCGGCGUUUUUCCAGUCCUAGAUGUCGGGACGAGAUCCUUUCGUAGUGGUGGAGUGUUGUAACACCCCGGAUGUAAUUUACCUUAUAUACAUCCCAACUUUUGCCAUUUCCGGUGCUAAGUUAUUUUAUUUCCUCGGAUUCGGUUUUUUUGUCUCCGUGUGUUGUUGCCUUUGUCAUGCAUCUCAUAUCAUGUCAUCAUGUGCAUUGCAUUUGCAUACGUGUUCGUCUCAUGCAUCCGAGCAUUUUCCCCGUUAUCCAUUUUGCAUUCCGGCGCUCCUAUCUCCUCCGGUGCCCCUUUCUACCUUUUUUUCCGUGUGUGGGGGUUAAACAUUUCCAAGAUUUGCCAAGCAGCCUUGGUUUACUACCUGUAGACCGCCUGUCAAGUUUCGUACCAUUUGGACUUCGUUGACACUCCAACGGUUAGCCGAGGGACUGAGAAGGCCUCUUUUGUGUUGCAGCCCAACACCCUUCCAAUUUGGCCCAAAACCCACCAAAACCUCUCCCAUCAUCUAGAGCAUUCGAUCACGAUCGCGUGGCCGAAAACCGCACUCCAUUUGGAGCUUCCUAGCUCCCUCUAUGCCUAUAAAAAGAUCCCCUUUCGAAAUCACGGGUCUUCUUCCCCGAAACCCUAGUAUUCCACCUCGCGCGCCGCCGGACAUGUCCGGAGCCGUGCCGGACAAAUCCCCGCCGCCAACCGCCGCCUGACACCUGUCGCUGCCGCCCCCGCUGACCGCACGGCCCGCUGAACCCACGCCCGGCCCCCGCGGCCCAUCGCCUCCCGCCGCCCGCCUUCNNNNNNNNNNNNNNNNNNNNNNNNNNNNNNNNNNNNNNNNNNNNNNNNNNNNNNNNNNNNNNNNNNNNNNNNNNNNNNNNNNNNNNNNNNNNNNNNNNNNNNNNNNNNNNNNNNNNNNNNNNNNNNNNNNNNNNNNNNNNNNNNNNNNNNNNNNNNNNNNNNNNNNNNNNNNNNNNNNNNNNNNNNNNNNNNNNNNNNNNNNNNNNNNNNNNNNNNNNNNNNNNNNNNNNNNNNNNNNNNNNNNNNNNNNNNNNNNNNNNNNNNNNNNNNNNNNNNNNNNNNNNNNNNNNNNNNNNNNNNNNNNNNNNNNNNNNNNNNNNNNNNNNNNNNNNNNNNNNNNNNNNNNNNNNNNNNNNNNNNNNNNNNNNNNNNNNNNNNNNNNNNNNNNNNNNNNNNNNNNNNNNNNNNNNNNNNNNNNNNNNNNNNNNNNNNNNNNNNNNNNNNNNNNNNNNNNNNNNNNNNNNNNNNCGGGACGCCGAGCUCCGGCGACCUCGCCACCCCAACGCGCCUGGCCGCCGGCCGCCUCGCCUCGCCAUCAUCCGCCGCGGCCGAGCCCCGCCUCCGCCGUCCACCUCGUCGCCGGUGGACGUCCGGCCACCUCCCCGCUCCGGCCACUUCUUCCUCGCCCGCCGCCGCCGUCUAUAGGGAUCCCCGCGAGUCUCCGGCGAGAUCCGCUGCCGUCUCGGGAAACGCGCCCGAUCCGAUCUGGAAAUUGAGGGUUGACCUAAUCUUGCCCUUUCACCACUAUUUUUUUGCAAUCUUUGGCAUGUCGUAACUUUGCAUAUGUAGCUUCGAUUUGCGCGUGUAGCAUAUCAAAAUGUUCGUCCCAGAGAAUACACCAUUUCAUCUCAUUGCAUCAUUUUCAUUUGAUCUCAUCUUGAUGCCUGAAAUGCUGUUGGAAGAGGGCUAUGUGAUAAAAUUGUCAGAUAUGUUUCAUCAAAUAGAUAUUUGUCAUUUUUGCCGUGUUUAAUGUGUGCAUGAUAUGCUCCUGAGCUCUACAGGAGUUUUGUUAUAUUCCAUGCUAUCUUUACAGAGGUGCUUACCAUGUAUUUUUUGUGAUAUGUGUGGUGACUAGCACAAGCUUGCAAAGUAGUGCAAUCGGUAAUGUUGUUUUCAGGGAGUUAUAAUUUCUCUAAGUCCUUGUCCUGAUUUUGUCAUUAUGCCAUAUGUUCAUGUUGUUUCCUAGUGAUCCGUGCCUCUUUUGAGGAUGAUCAGUAAGGAUGAUUUGUUAACAUUGUGGUUCUCUAGCCAUCCAUGUAUUUUUUUGAAUUUAUGGAGCAUCCUAUCUUGAGUCAGUCGAGCUCUACUUUUGCUAUUUCGUGAAUCCUGGCAGAUUGUUGUCUUGUUAGCGAUUUUGCCGAGGAAGUUGCUAUUGAUCCGUGCAUGCUAUGUUGUUGUUCUUGCCAUGUCUAGCUUCUAUGCCAUGUAUUCUUGAUGGGUGUAUGCUUAGUUUGUCAUGCCAUGCUCUGUAGUGAGUGCAUCGAGCUCGUAAACAUGCCUACUCGUUAACUGUUUUGCAUGCUCCAGUUUUUCACUAAGUCUGAGAUCUGAUUAUGUUUUUGCCAUGUUCACAUGCUUGCAAUUGUAUUUUCUGAUCCCUUUUGGCUCAAGGUCACUAAGGGACUUUUGUUAAGUGCUUUGAGUAGCUUCAUUCCAUCCUUGAUUUGCUACGUUAAGUUCCUGUAGCAUGUAGUUUUUAUGCUCCAAAGUGUGCUACCUGAUGUUAAAUUCCAGACUUGUGUUAAUUUCACAAAGUCUGAAACCUGUUAUCAUUUGCACUUUUGCCAUGCUUGUUUGAACCUGUUAAUGGAUGAAUUGGCCGUAGCUUAGUGUUCAUCUUUUGUCAAGCAUCAUGAGUAGAUCCCUGCCAUGAAUUUUGUUGUCAUGUUUGAGUGCUGUAGCAUAAUUAUCUUGAUGCUAUUAGAUGGCUACUUGCUGUUUAUCGCAGACCGGUGGCAUAUUUGUUUUGCCUGCCUUUUCCAAACCGUGCAUCUGAUUCCGGUGUUCUUUAUAUCGAUUUCAACCGAAAUCACCUCACCUUUCCAGUGGCACUCUUGGAUUUCCAAGUUGAGGCCAGGUUCAAUCAUUCGUUGUCAAAUCUUGCAUAUGCAUCACAUACCGCAUCCCGCAUAGCAUACCAUGUUCGCAUCAUGUUGUUUGAGCAUUGCACGUGGUUGAUUGUGUCCCUUUUACUUCUUUGUCUUGUUUGGGUAGAGCCGGGAGACGAGUUCGCGAACGAGGAGCCCGUUGAGUUUGCUUACGAGGAUCAAGUCAACUCUGACAACUUUGCAGGCAAGAUGAUCAUACCCUCGAGAUCACUUCUAUCUUUGCUUGCUAGAUGCUCGCUCUUUUGCUAUGCCUAUGCUACGAUGCCUACCAAUUGCUUAUAAUGCCUCCCAAAUUGCCAUGUCAAACCUCUAACCCACCAUGUCCUAGCAAACCGUUGAUUGGCUAUGUUACCGCUUUGCCCAGCCCCUCUUAUAGCGUUGCUAGUUGCAGGUGAAGAUUGGAGAUCUUUCCUUGUUGGAACAUUGUUUAUUGUUGGGAUAUCACUAUAUUAUCUUGUUAUCUUAAUGCACCUAUAUACUUGGUAAAGGGUGGAAGGCUUGGCCUUUUGCCUAGUGUUUUGUUCCACUCUUGCCGCCCUAGUUUCCGUCAUAUCGGUGUUAUGUUCCCGGAUUUUGCAUUCCUUACGCGGUUGGGUUAUAAUGGGAACGCCUUGAUAGUUCACCUUGAAUAAAACUCUUCCAGAAAUUCCCAACAUUGGUUUGACCAUUCGCCACCUAGCCUUUUUCCCUUGGGUUUCGCGGACUCAAGGGUCAUCUUUAUUUUACCCCCCCGGGCCAGUGCUUCUCUAAGUGUUGGUCCAACUGAGCGAUGUCCAGGGCUACCAGGGGCAACUCUGGGCUGGCCUACCCGACAUCUUGCUCAUCCGGUGUGCCCUGAGAAUGAGAUAUGUGCAGCUCCUAUCGGGAUUUGUCAGCACAUCUGGGUGGUGUUUCUGGUUUAGUUUUACCAUUGUCUAGGAUGUCUUGUAAAACCGAGAUGCCGAGUCUGAUCGGAAUGUCUCGGGAGAAGGAAUAUCCUUCGUUGACCGUGAGAGCUUGUGAUGGGCUAAGUUGGGACACCCCUGCAGGGUUUUGAACUUUCGAAAGUCGUGCCCGCGGAUAUGGGCAGAUGGGAAUUUGUUAAUGUCCGGUUGUUGAUAACUUGAAACUUAACUUAAUUUAAAAUGAAUCAACCGCGUGUGUACCCGUGAUGGUCUCUUCUCGGCGGAGUCCGGGAAGUGAACACGGUGUUGGAGUAAUGCUUGACGUAGGUUGUUCUAGGAUCACUUCUUGAUCAUAGUUCUUCAUUCGUGCUUUGGCUUCUCUUCUCGCUCUCUUUUGCGAACAGGUUAGCCACCAUAAAUGCUAGUCGCUUGCUGCAGCUCCACAUAUUACCUUGCCUUUACUAUAAGCUUAAAUAGUCUUGAUCGCGAGGGUGCGAGAUUGCCGAGUCCCCGUGACUCACAGUUUACUUCCAAAACCAGAUGCAGGGACCGAUGAUACCGCUCCAGACGAUGCACUUGAGCUCAAGUGGGAGUUCGACGAAGACUCUCGUCGUUACUACAUGUCUUUUCCAGAUGAUCAGUGGUGGUGCCCAGUUGGGGCGAUCGGGGACCGUGUCGCAUGUUGGGGUUGAUCUUUUAUUUUGGUACCGUAGUCGACCAUGAGUGUAUUGGAUGAUUGUAAUGUUAUUCAUGUAUUUGUGUGACAUGGCGAGUGUAAGCCAACUAUGUAUCUUUUCCCCUAUUAUCUAUUUACAUGAGUUGUUGUGAAGAUUACCUUACUUGCGACAUUGCUUUCAAUGCGGUUAUGCCUCUAAGUCGUGCUUCGACACGUAGGAGAUAUAGCCGCAUCGAGGGCGUUAUAGCGCCCUAGCCGCGGAAGCGAACAUGCCGAGCCGGCGGAGCUGGAGUCGUUAUCCCUCGGCGGCAUGCCCGAUCUGCUCAAUAAGCAGAAGGAGUUCAUCCAAGGCUUGAUGGAGUUACUGAAGGAGAGCCUCGACGACAUGCCCGCUGAGCUCAAUCAGCAGGGGGAGUUAACCGCUGGCUUGGUGAUGCUGCUGAAGAAGAGCAUUGCCUCGGAGAAGAAGGCGACCGGCAAAAUCCUGUGACUUCGGGAGGACAAUGCGAAGCUCUGCCACGAGAUCGACCUGUUGAAGGAGAAGAACGCCGGCUGGAAGAAGCUGCAUGAGAAUAGUAGUUCCUCGAUGAAGAUUCUACAGGCCCUCGCCAUGGAACAGAAGGAAGAGUUGGCGAAGCUCCGCAUCGAGCACCCGACUGCUGUCAAGGUACAUAAUAUGGCCAUGGAACAGAUGAUGAAGGCUCGCGUCGAGAAAUGCCGCGUCAUGGGCACAAUGAUGAAGAUGGCGGAGGAGACGCGCAAGGAGAUGGAGGUCGUGGAGGCGAUGAAGAAGCAGUUACGACUCCGUGGCGAAUUAGAUCAUUUGGGGUGAUAAUCUUCCUUCUUCUUUUGCUCCUGUGUUUCAUCUUUUGCUUCGGGUGUUUGGCGGCACGUGGCACGUUCUCUGCGAGGCAUGAAUAUAACAAUGUUUUUUUGAGGGAAUGAAUAGAACAAUGCUAGCAAUGAGAUGACUAGCAAAUUAGAUCAUUUUUUAUCGCCAUAUGGCACUGGGCUGCCGUGUUUCGUGCUCCUCCGUCGUAGUACUACUCCAGUGGAAAACUUCGGUAUACCGCAUGGUUCUUUGCUCCUCCUCGAUCGGGUUGUCGGUGCAUUUAUACGAGCAAUCAAAUCACAAGACCCCGCCUUCCAGCAGUAAUGAGCCUUCAAAUCACAAAGGCCCUCGCCUCUCGUGAAACCGACCAAGCUAGACUGCCCCGCCCUCUAGCCUUUUAAAAAAUGUAUACUUUUGUACAACAGUACUAUCGAUGGAUUGCCCCAUGGAGCAAAACUUGAAAUUAAAAAAAGGUGGUACAUAUAGAGAGCACUCGUUGCCAAAUUAUGCAUAUAGAACUAUUAAAAAGGCUAGUCACAAUAAUGGUGUCCAGCACAACCCACCCCUCAAAUAAAACUAAGAGUGUGCUUGGAUACGUUUUAGUCCCAUGACUAAAAGUAGUGGGACUAAAACAUGCUAGCCUCAGCCAUGCUUGGAUCCAAAUACUAAAAAGGCUAAAAUCUAGUUAAUGAGCAUUUAUUAUCCUCCAAACCCUCCAAUCCAGAACUCGCCUGUGUUAAAGGAGAGGAAUUAAAUGAGAAGAGACAGGACUAAUCCACAUUUUAGUAGGGGUAUCCCUGACUAAAAAAAUUUAGUCUCAAGACUAGUUUUAGCCCCACUUUAGUCAGGGGUGAUUGGAACUUUAGCCUCCUAAAGAGACUAUUUUUAGUCACACUAAAAUAAGUCCCUUGGAUCCAAGCACCCUCUAAGCAUCCUGGAAUUCUAUGACAAAACUAAGCACCCUGAAAUUCUUUGACAACUAAACUGCUGGCUAUAUGAUGUUGGCCAUAUAUAUUGUACGUAUAUAAUGUGAAGAAAUGAGUGGUAGUACUAUACCAACUAUAAGAUGAAAUGUAAGAAAUACUAGUAUGUACGUACUGAAGAGUUAAAGUAACGAGAAGAAACAUAACAUAGUUCUGCUGGGGGCUCAGCACAACACACCCCUCAAAUUAAAUUAAGCACACCUGAAAUUAAACUUUGCAACUAUUCCGGUAGACACUGCAUUAGAACCACCAUGAGCAACGACACUGCCACCUUACUCGGAGUCCUCGUCCACGUCCUCGACUUCGUCCUUGUCCCUCUUGUUGGAAAUAUGCCCUAGAGGCAAUAAUAAAAGGAUUAUUAUUAUAUUUCCUUGUUCAUGAUAAUUGUCUUUUAUUCAUGCUAUAAUUGUGUUAUCCGGAAAUCGUAAUACAUGUGUGAAUACACAGACACCAACAUGUCCCUAGUAAGCCUCUAGUUGACUAGCUCGUUGAUCAACAGAUAGUCAUGGUUUCCUAACUAUGGACAUGGGGAUGUCAUUGAUAACGGGAUCACAUCAUUAGGAGAAUGAUGUGAUGGACAAGACCCAAUCCUAAUCAUAGCACAAAAUCGUAUAGUUCGUUUGCUAGAGUUUUUCCAAUGUCAAGUAUCUUUUCCUUAGACCAUGAGAUCGUGUAACUCCCGGAUACCGUAGGAGUGCUCUAGGUAUACCAAACGUCACAACGUAACUGGGUGACUAUAAAGGUAUACUACGGGUAUCUCCGAAAGUGUCUGUUGGGUUGACACGGAUCAAGACUGGGAUUUGUCACUCCGUAUGAUGGAGAGGUAUCUCUGGGCCCACUCGGUAAUGCAUCAUCACAAUGAGCUCAAAGUGACCAAGUGUCUGGUCACGGGAUCAUGCAUUACGGUACGAGUAAAGUGACUUGCCGGUAACGAGAUUGAACGAGGUAUUGGGAUACCGACGAUCGAAUCUCGGGCAAGUAACGUACCGAUUGACAAAGGGAAUUGUAUACGGGGUUGCUUGAAUCCUUGACAUCGUGGUUCAUCCGAUGAGAUCAUCGAGGAGCAUGUGGGAGACAACAUGGGUAUCUAGAUCCCGCUGUUGGUUAUUGACCGGAGAGCGUCUCGGUCAUGUCUACAUGUCUCCCGAACCCGUAGGGUCUACACACUUAAGGUUCGGUGACGCUAGGGUUGUAGAGAUAUGAAUAUGCAGUAACCCUUAAGUUGUUCGGAGCCCCGGAUGAGAUCCUGGACGUCACGACGAGUUCCGGAAUGGUCUGGAGGUGAAGAAUUAUAUAUAGGAAGUGCAGUUUCGGCCAUCGGGAGAGUUUCGGGGUCACCAGUAUUGUACCGGGACCAUCGAAAGGGUUCCGGGGGUCCACCGGGUGGGGCCACCCAUCCCGGAGGGCCCCAUGGGCCAAAGUGGGGAGGGGAACCAGCCCAUAGUGGGCUGGUGCGCCCCCUAGGCCCACCCCAUGCGCCUAGGGUUGGAACCCNNNNNNNNNNNNNNNNNNNNNNNNNNNNNNNNNNNNNNNNNNNNNNNNNNNNNNNNNNNNNNNNNNNNNNNNNNNNNNNNNNNNNNNNNNNNNNNNNNNNNNNNNNNNNNNNNNNNNNNNNNNNNNNNNNNNNNNNNNNNNNNNNNNNNNNNNNNNNNNNNNNNNNNNNNNNNNNNNNNNNNNNNNNNNNNNNNNNNNNNNNNNNNNNNNNNNNNNNNNNNNNNNNNNNNNNNNNNNNNNNNNNNNNNNNNNNNNNNNNNNNNNNNNNNNNNNNNNNNNNNNNNNNNNNNNCCCCUAGGAGAUCCCAUCUCCUAGGGCCGGCGCCCCCCUAGGGGAGCCUAUAUAAAGGGGGGGGGGAGGGAGGGGGCAGCAAUACCUUGAGUCUUGGCGCCUCCCUCUCCCCUGCUACACCUCUCUCUCUCGCAGUAUACGUCGAAGCCCUGCUGCUGUGACGCCCUGCAUCCACCACCACGCCGUUGUGCUGCUGGAUCUUCAUCAACCUCUCCUCCCCCUUGCUGGAUCAAGUAGGAGGAGACGUCACGCUGACCGUACGUGUGUUGAACAUGGAGGUGCCGUCCGUUCGGCGCUAGGAUCUCCGGUGAUUUGGAUCACGUCGAGUACGUCUUCCUCAUCCCCAUUCUUUGAACGCUUCCACGCGUGAUCUACAAAGGUAUGUAGAUGAAAUCCAAUCACUCGUUGCUAGAUGAACUCAUAGAUGGAUCUUGGUGAAACCGUAAAAAAAUUUUUGUUUUCUGCAACGUUCCGCAACAGUGGCAUCAUGAGCUAGGUCUAUGCGUAGUUCUCCUUGCACGAGUAGAACACAAUUUGUUGUGGGCGUAGAUGUUGUCAACUUUCUUGUCGCUACUAGUCUUAUCUUGCUUCAGUGGUAUUGUGGGAUGAAGCGGCCCGGACCGACCUUACACGUACGCUUACGUGAGACUGGUUCCACCGACUGGCAUGCACUAGUUGCAUAAGGUGGCUAGCGGGUGUCUGUCUCUCCCACUUUAGUUGGAGUGGAUUCGAUGAAAAGGGUCCUUAUGAAGGGUAAAUAGAAGUUGCCAAAUCACGUUGCGGCUAUUACGUAGGUAAGAAAACGUUCUUGCUAGAACCCUUUUGCAGCCACGUAAAAACUUGCAACAACAAUUAGAGGACGUCUAACUUGUUUUUGCAGCAAGUGAUUUGUGAUGUGAUAUGGCCAAAGUUGUGAUGAAUGAUGAAUGAUAUAUAUGUGAUGUAUGAGAUCAUGUUCUUGUAAUAGGAAUCACGACUUGCAUGUCGAUGAGUAUGACAACCGGCAGGAGCCAUAGGAGUUGUCUUUAUUUUUUUGUAUGACCUGCGUGUCAUUGAGAAAUGCCAUGUAAAUUACUUUACUUUAUUGCUAAACGCGUUAGCCAUAGUAGUAGAAGUAAUAGUUGGCGAGCAACUUCAUGGAGACACGAUGAUGGAGAUCAUGAUGAUGGAUAUCAUGGUGUCAUGCCGGUGACAAGAUGAUCAUGGAGCCCCAAGAUGGAGAUCAAAGGAGCUAUGUGAUAUUGGCUAUAUCAUGUCACUAUUAUUAUUUGAUUGCAUGUGAUGUUUAUCAUGUUUUUGCAUCUUGUUUACUUAGAACGGCGGUAGUAAAUAAGAUGAUCCUUCAUAAUAAUUUCAAGAAAGUUUUCCCCCUAACUGUGCACCAUUGCGACAGUUUGUUGUUUCGAAGCACCACGUGAUGAUCGGGUGUGAUAGAUUCCAACGUUCACAUACAACGGGUGUAAGACAGAUUUACACAUGCAAACACUUAGGUUGACUUGACGAGCCUAGCAUGUACAGACAUGGCCUCAGAACACAGAAGACCGAAAGGUCGAGCAUGAGUCGUAUAGAAGAUACGAUCAACAUGAAGAUGUUCACCGAUGUUGACUAGUCCGUCUCACGUGAUGAUCGGACACGGCCUAGUUAACUCAGAUCAUGUUAUACUUAGAUGACUAGAGGGAUGUCUAUCUAAGUGGGAGUUCAUUAUAUAAUUUGAUUAGAUGAACUUAAUUAUUAUGAACUUAGUCUAAAAUCUUUAUAAUAUGUCUUGUAGAUCAAAUGGCCAAUGUUGUCCUCAACUUCAACGCGUUCCUAGAGAAAACCAAGCUGAAAGACGAUGGCAUCAACUAUACGGACUGGGUCCGGAACCUGAGGAUCAUCCUCAUAGCUGCCAAGAAACAUUAUGUCCUACUAGCACUGCUAGGUGACGCACCCGUCCCACAGAACCAAGACGUUAUGAACGCUUGGCAGACAUGUGCUGAUGAUUACUCCCUCGUUCACCGCGGCAUGCUUUACAGCUUAGAACCGGGGCUCCAAAAGCGUUUUGAGCGACACGGAGCAUAUGCGAUGUUCGAAGAGCUGAAAAUGGUUUUCCAAGCUCAUGCCUGGGUCGAGAGAUAUGAAGUCUCCGACAAGUUCUUCAGCUGUAAGAUGGAGGAAAAUAGUUCUGUCAGUGAGCACAUACUCACUAUGUCUGGGUUACAUAACCGCUUGACUCAGCUGGGAGUUAAUCUCCCGGAUGACGCGGUCAUUGACAGAAUCCUCCAGUCGCUUCCACCAAGCUACAAGAGCUUUGUGAUGAACUUCAAUAUGCAGGGGAUGGAAAAGACCAUUCCUGAAGUAUUUGCAAUGCUGAAAUCAGCAGAGGUAGAAGUCAAAAAGGACCAUCAAGUGUUGAUGGUGAAUAAAACCACUAAGUUCAAGAAAGGCAAGGGUAAGAAGAACUUCAAGAAGGACGGCAAGGGAGUUGCCGCGCCCGGUAAGCAAGCUACCGGGAAGAAGCCAAAGAAUGGACCCAAGCCCGAGACUGAGUGUUUUUAUUGCAAGGGAAGUGGUCACUGGAAGCGGAACUGCCCCAAAUACUUAGCGGACAAGAAGGCCGGCAAAACGAAAGGUAUAUGUGAUAUACACACAAUUGAUGUGUACCUUACCAGUACUCGUAGUAGCUCCUGGGUAUUUGAUACCGGUGCGGUUGCUCACAUUUGUAACUCAAAGCAGGAGCUGCGGAAUAAACGGAGACUGGUGAAGAACGAGGUGACGAUGCGCGUCGGGAAUUGUUCCAUGGUCGAUGUGAUCGCCGUCGGCACGCUACCUCUACAUUUACCCACGGGAUUAGUUUUAAACCUCAAUAAUUGUUAUUUAGUACCAGCUUUGAGCAUGAACAUUGUAUUAGGAUCUCGUUUAAUAUGAGAUGGCUACUCAUUUAAAUCCGAGGAUAAUGGUUGUUCUAUUUAUAUGAGAGAUAUGUUUUAUGGUCAUGCUCCUAUGGUGAAUGGUUUAUUCUUAAUGAAUCUCGAGCGUAAUGCUACACAUAUUCAUAGUGUGAGUACCAAAAGAUGUAAGGUUGAUAAUGAUGGUCCCACAUACUUGUGGCACUGCCGCCUUGGUCACAUAGGUGUCAAACGCAUGAAGAAGCUCCAUGCAGAUGGACUUUUAGAGUCUCUUGAUUACGAAUCAUUUGACACGCACGUGCGAACCAUGCCUCAUGGGUAAGAUGACCAAGACUCCGUUCUCAGGAACAAUGGAGCGGGCAACCAACCUAUUGGAAAUCAUACAUACUGAUGUGUGCGGUCCAAUGAGUGUUGAGGCUCGUGGUGGCUAUCGUUAUGUUCUCACCCUCACUGAUGACUUGAGUAGAUAUGGGUAUAUCUACUUAAUGAAACACAAGUCUGAAACCUUUGAAAAGUUCAAGGAAUUUCAGCGUGAUGUUGAGAAUCAACGUGACAAAAAAAUCAAGUUUUUGCGAUCAGAUCAUGGAGGAGAAUACUUGAGUCACGAAUUUGGUACACACUUAAGAAAAUGUAGAAUAGUUUCACAACUCACGCCGCCUGGAACACCUUAGCGUAAUGGUGUGUCCGAAUGUCAUAAUCGCACUCUAUUAGAUAUGGUGCGAUCUAUGAUGUCUCUUACUGAUUUACCGCUAUCUUUUUGGGGCUAUUCUUUAGAGACUGCCGCAUUCACUUUAAAUAGGGCUCCGUCGAAAUACGUUGAGACGACACCGUAUGAAUUAUGGUUUGGGAAGAAACCUAAGCUGUCGUUUCUAAAAGUUUGGGGAUGCGAUGCUUAUGUCAAGAAACUUCAACCUGAAAAGCUCGAACCCAAGUCGGAAAAAUGCGUCUUCAUAGGAUACCCUAAAGAAACUAUUGGGUAUACCUUCUACCUCAGAUCCGAAGGCAAGAUCUUGGUUGCCAAGAAUGGAUCCUUUCUAGAGAAGGAGUUUCUCUUGAAAGAAGUAAGUGGGAGGAAAGUAGAACUUGAUGAAGUAUUGCCUCUUGAACCGGAAAGUGGCGCAACUCAGGAAAAUGUUCCUGUGGUGCCUGCACCAAUUAGAGAGGAAGUUAAUGAUGAUGAUAAAGAUACUUCUGAUCAAGCUCCUACUGAACUUCGAAGGUCCACAAGGACACGUUCUGCACCAGAGUGGUACGGCAACCCUGUCUCGGAAAUCAUGUUGUUAGACAACGGUGAACCUUCGAACUAUGAAGAAGCGAUGGUGGGCCCGGAUUCCGACAAAUGGCUGGAAGCCAUGAAAUCCGAGAUAGGAUCCAUGUAUGAAAACAAAGUAUGGACUUUGACUGACUUGCCCGAUGAUCAGCGAGCCAUAGAAAAUAAAUGGAUCUUUAAGAAGAAGACAGACGCGGAUGGUAAUGUGACCAUCUAUAAAGCUAGGCUUGUCGCUAAGGGUUAUCGACAAGUUCAAGGGUUUGACUAUAAUGAGACAUUCUCUCCCGUAGCAAAGCUGAAGUCCGUCCGAAUCAUGUUAGCAAUUGCCGCAUACUAUGAUUAUGAGAUAUGGGAAAUGGACGUCAAAACGGCAUUCCUUAACGGUUAUCUUAAGGAAGAACUGUAUAUGAUGCACCCGGAAGGUUUUGUCGAUCCUAAGAAUGUUGACAAGGUGUGCAAGCUCCAACGCUUGAUUUAUGGGCUGGUGCAAGCAUCUCGGAGUUGGAACAUUCGCUUUGAUGAGAUGAUCAAAGCGUUUGGGUUUAUGCAGACUUAUGGAGAAGCCUGCGUUUACAACAAAGUGAGUGGGAGCUCUGUAGCAUUUCUCAUAUUAUAUGUAGAUGACAUACUUUUGAUGGGAAAUGAUAUAGAGCUUUUGGAUAGCAUUAAGGCCUACUUGAAUAAGAGUUUUUCAAUGAAGGACCUUGGAGAAGCUGCUUAUAUAUUAGGCAUCAAGAUCUAUAGAGAUAGAUCAAGACGCCUCAUAGGUCUUUCACAAAGCACAUACCUUGAUAAGAUAUUGAAGAAGUUCAAUAUGGAUCAGUCUAAGAAGGGGUUCUUGCCUGUGUUGCAAGGUGUGAAAUUGAGCUCAGCUCAAUGUCCGACCACGACAGAAGAUAUAGAAGAGAUGAGUGUCAUCCCCUAUGCCUCAGCCAUAGGUUCUAUUAUGUAUGCCAUGCUGUGUACCAGACCUGAUGUAAACCUUGCCGUAAGUUUGGUAGGAAGGUACCAAAGUAAUCCCGACAAGGAACACUGGACAGCGGUCAAGAAUAUCCUGAAGUACCUGAAAAGGACUAAGGAAAUGUUUCUCGUUUAUGGAGGUGAUGAAGAGCUCGUCGUAAAGGGUUACGUCAACGCUAGCUUCGACACAGAUCUGGAUGACUCUAAGUCACAAACCGCAUACGUGUAUAUUUUGAAUGGUGGGGCAGUAAGCUGGUGCAGUUGCAAGCAGAGCAUCAUGGCGGGAUCUACAUGUGAAGCGGAGUACAUGGCAGCCUCGGAGGCAGCACAUGAAGCAAUUUGGGUGAAGGAGUUCAUCACCGACCUAGGAGUCAUACCCAAUGCGUCGGGGCCAAUCAAACUCUUCUGUGACAACACUGGAGCUAUUGCACUUGCCAAGGAGCCCAGGUUUCACGAGAAGACCAGGCACAUCAAGCGUCGCUUCAACUCCAUUCGUGAAAAUGUUCAAGAUGGAGACAUAGAUAUUUGUAAAGUGCAUACGGACCUGAAUGUAGCAGAUCCAUUGACUAAACCUCUCCCUAGAGCAAAACAAGAUCAACAGCAGCAUUCCAUGGGUGUUCGAUUCAUCACAAUGUAACUAGAUUAUUGACUCUAGUGCAAGUGGGAGACUGUUGGAAAUAUGCCAUAGAGGCAAUAAUAAAAGGAUUAUUAUUAUAUUUCCUUGUUCAUGAUAAUUGUCUUUUAUUCAUGCUAUAAUUGUGUUAUCCAGAAAUCGUAAUACAUGUGUGAAUACACAGACACCAACAUGUCCCUAGUAAGCCUCUAGUUGACUAGCUCGUUGAUCAACAGAUAGUCAUGGUUUCCUGACUAUGGACAUGGGGAUGUCAUUGAUAACGGGAUCACAUCAUUAGGAGAAUGAUGUGAUGGACAAGACCCAAUCCUAAACAUAGCACAAGAUCGUAUAGUUCGUUUGCUAGAGUUUUUCCAAUGUCAAGUAUCUUUUCCUUAGACCAUGAGAUCGUGUAACUCCCGGAUACCGUAGGAGUGCUCUGGGUAUACCAAACGUCAGAACGUUACUGGGUGACUAUAAAGGUAUACUACGGGUAUCUUCGAAAGUGUCUAUUGGGUUGACACGGAUCAAGAGUGGGAUUUGUCACUCCGUAUGACGGAGAGGUAUCUCUGGGCCCACUCGGUAAUGCAUCAUCAUAAUGAGCUCAAAGUGGCCAAGUGUCUGGUCACGGGAUCAUGCAUUACAGUAUGAGUAAAGUGACUUGCCGGUAACAAGAUUGAACGAGGUAUUAGGAUACCGACGAUCGAAUCUUGGGCAAGUAACGUACCGAUUGACAAAGGGAAUUGUAUACGGGGUUGCUUGAAUCCUCGACGUCAUGGUCAUCCGAUGAGAUCAUCGAGGAGCAUGUGGGAGCCAACAUGGGUAUCCAGAUCACACUAUUGGUUAUUGACCGGAGAGCCGUCUUGGUCAUGUCUACAUGUCUCCCGAACCCGUAGGGUCUACACACUUAAGGUUCGGUGACGCUAGGGUUGUAGAGAUAUGAAUAUGCAGUAACCCGAAACUUGUUCGGAGUCCCGGAUGAGAUCAUGGACGUCACGAGGAGUUGCGUAAUGGUCCGGAGGUGAAGAAUUAUAUAUAGGAAGUGCAGUUUCGGCCAUCGGGAGAGUUUCGGGGUCACCGGUAUUGUACCGGGACCGACGGAAGGGUCCCGGGGGUCCACCGGGUGGGGCCACCCAUCCCGGAGGGUCCCAUGGGCCAAAGUGGGGAGGGGAACCAGCCCAUAGUGGGCUGGUGUGCCCUCUAGGCCCACCCCAUGCGCCUAGGGUUGGAACCCUAGGGGUGGGGGGGGCUCCCCACCUUGCCUUGGGGGCUACUCCACCCUUGGCCGCCGCCCCCUAGGAGAUCCCAUCUCCUAGGGCCGGCGCCCCCCUAGGGGAGCCUAUAUAAAGGGGGGGAGGGAGGGGGCAGCAAUACCUUGAGUCUUGGCGCCUCCCUCUCCCCUGCUACACCUCUCUCUCUUGCAGUAUACGGCGAAGCCCUGCUGCUGUGACGCCCUGCAUCCACCACCACGCCGUCGUGCUGUUGGAUCUUCAUCAACCUCUCCUCCCCCCUUGCUGGAUCAAGUAGGAGGAGAUGUCACGUUGACCGUACGUGUGUUGAGCACGGAGGUGCCGUCCGUUCGGCGCUAGGAUCUCCGGUGAUUUGGAUCACGUCGAGUACGUCUUCCCCAUCCCCGUUCUUUGAACGCUUCCGCGCGUGAUCUACAAAGGUAUGUAGAUGCAAUCCAAUCACUCGUUGCUAGAUGAACUCAUAGAUGGAUCUUGGUGAAACAGUAGGAAAUUUUUUGUUUUCUGCAACGUUCCCCAACACCUCUUCCUCUUGGCUGAUACUUCUUUGCUUGAACCGCACACUUGGCUGUUGCUCUUCAUCCAAUCCUUGUAGAUAUUGAAGCAAAGGUAGCCAUCCAUUGCAGCAUAGUGGAUGUGGUCUACAUCUAGUAUAUUCUGCUGCCAUGCAUGACGAUGAAACGUGUAAUGAGGUUUCUCCAGUUUACUGUAUGAAGGAUGAACCAUGGCUCCUGCCAGGGUCAGCAUUGAAGGCUGACAAGAGGACACUAGCGGAUUCUUCUGGAGGUCGAAGGUGUUGCCUACAACGAGGCCUAUCCGACGGAGGACUUCUUUGUCGUUACCAAAGUCUACAGUAACGAAUUUCACUGUUUUGUCCUUGAGGAAGUUCUUAAAAUCCUGGCACUCAACGUUAGCAUGGCAUAUGUGGUGGACCAAGCAAACGUUAUGUAUGCAAACCUGGAUCACGGCAGGCUUCUUCCUCUCUUCGUCCUUUUGAUCCUUCUCUCGUCCCAGGACUGUGGUGUACUCAACAUCUAGCCCAGCGACCCACUCAUCAUCUGAGUUUUUGAACAUGCGUCUGAAGCGAGAAAGGCAUCCUUUCACCGUCGUGGAAGAACGGGUGUAGAUGACGUCGAACUCAUCACCGGUGAUGGUUCUAACCUUGUACUCACCGCCGAUCGUGGAGAUUUGGGACGCCAUGGAUUUGGGAGGAGGGUUAGGAUUAGUGGAACUGCCGUAAUGUGAAUGGAUGGGACGACUAGGAGCGAACCGCCGUAGUAUUGAAGGACGUGCGGGGACGAGUAGGAGCGAACUGCCAGUGUGCGAACGGCAGGGUAGUGGCUUUCCAUUCUCCCAUGAUACGGGCUUCCGAGAGCCCUUGGAUCUGAGAUCGAACGGUUGCAUGGCGUGAUUCUAGACCUAUGGGUGAAUAUCCUAUCCUGGAGGGUUAUUCUGCAAAUUUUCAGCAACUUAGCAUGCGACCGUUUGAUCUCAGAUCCAAGGGCUGCCAGCAGCCCGUAUCAUGGUCGCGCCUACCACGAACGUCGCGUCGCUCGCGCGGUCACGCCCUUGGAGAUUUAACACGGUGUGUUAAGCUAUCUGAUGUUGGCAUGUCAUACAUAGUCAUCACUUAGUCACUCAUACUACAACAAGGUUGGCUAUAAGUGUAUUUUUGUUACUCCUCUCUAUCUCUUUCUUCGUACUCAAGGAAGAAACGGUGCUAAGCGCGUGUAUUUAUUGCAUUUGCCAAGGAGUGACCUCUUCCAAUGAAAUGGUGUUGCUAAGUUUGCUUCAUUUAAUUAGCUAUAGACUCAAAAUUGUCUUUUCACCUAGGUACACGCGCUUAGCACCGUUUCUUCCUUGGGUCACCAAACUAGUCUCUCUCUUCUUGAUUAACUUGCCACAUCAGACUUUAUGCCUAUGUGGCAAGCUUAAGCACCUGUAGGAGCAAGUAAAAGUAAGUACAAUAGUGCGCUUUACAUGGCAUUUUUGCAUAUGUGUAGGAAAGAGAGGCAAGGAAAAAGUGGAGAAGUGGGCUCUCAUGCAAGAGCCAGCCUCUACUACAUGGUGGAGCAUUGGGAGAGACACCUGUAUGGAGGUGGUCAGGAAUCUGGGAGACUCACACCGGUUGUAGCGCCUCAGUUAAAAUGAUAAUGGCAAGUCAAAUCACGGGGCCCCACCUGUCCAACAGUAACUUGCUGUCAAAUCACACAGCCCUACGUUUGCAGCAGCCUACUCCCUUGUCUUCUCGCGUCUCUGUCGAACCGACUAGGCGGAAGUGCCCCGCCGCCUACCGCGCAGGAAAAGCCCCGCCCUCGACUUUUAAAUAGUAUACAGUAUACUAAUUUUGUAUCCAUGGAUUGCGCCCGCGCCAUGGAGCAAAGCAUCUAGAAAACGGAGGAGAGACGGUGGUCUUACAAUAGAGAAGAGGGAGAGGCGAGAUGGUGGUUUUGGAAUGGAGAUGAUGGAGAGGAGAGGAGGUGGUUAUAUAAUGGAGAAGAGGGACAGGAGCGUGCGGCAGCGAUUUAGGAUUGGACGAGAGGGCCAGCACGCUCUGACCGGAUCAAAAUCAAUUUACCCUUCAAUUAAGAAAGCGACCCCACAUUAACUAGUCUCCCUUUUAUUCUGGGUCAUAAUUGACCAUGAUUUUCGCACAUAAAAUAUAUGUUAUACGUUGUAUACAAGGCCACUAUCAAAAUUACAAUUUGCAACUAUACAAGGCCACUAACAUUAAUCGAGGAAAAAUUGAUGGCGUUUGCCUCGUACUAGCACCGGAGGACAUUAAUAUCCCUUGUGUGCAUGCGGGAGUGAGAAGGUUAGCUUGCAUUCCCAACAUUAAUCAACCAAUGAGGAGUAAGAGGGUUGGCUUGUUAUGCUUGGGAGAGAAAAACCACAUUAAUUAACACGACAAUCAAGGUGACAAGCUAGCUUGCAACAUUGACUUAAACAUAGCAUUGAUUUUUACCUUGGUACCUGUAAUAUGAGUUUGUGGCCUUGUAUACAAAAAUGGAGGGAGUAUAAUUUGAAAGUACAUUAGAUACGAACCAAAUGAUACAAUUUUUGGUGACAUGCAUUCACAUUUUGCUUGUCAAAUAUAGUACAUGGUCAAAAUUUGACCCAAAAUACGCGAAACAACAAAAAAAUACUUCCAAGACCAGCGCCGCUCUUCCGCUCUUCUCCUCUUAAACCACCGCUGCUCCAAUCCUGUUCCAAUCUAAAUGCAGCGCCGCUCCUCUCCUCUUCCAUUUCAAAACCACCACCCCUCCUCUCCUGUUCCAGUCCAAAACCAGCAUCGCUCCUCUCCUGUUCUAAUCCAAACCAGCGCUGCUCCUCUCCUCUUCCAUUCAAAAACCACCGCCAGCGAGUGAAGGUGCUGUGGAGAAGUAGAUCGAUGGAGGAGUACAACCGAUACGUGAAGAUCGCAGACGGCGACCCUGUGAAGCUAGCUAGGAUGUUGGAGAUACAGUCUUGGUUUGACAACAAGGACCAACUAGAGGCGACAGUGACAUCCAUGGCCAAAUAUCUGCAAUAGAGCGAAAAGGCGGCGAUACUCCCGGAGGGAGUCGCGCCGAAGUACAUAGAGCUGCUCCUCUGGGCCAUGGAGCAAACAGAUUCACCGAAUCCAAUCGUGAGGAAGCAGUGGUGGGAGUAUCGAUCCCAGAUGGAGCAUCCACAAGAGAUUGAAGGAUCGAGCAUCUACAGGGUGCCGUUUGUGAGGGUGCCCUGCCAGAGCGAGCCGGUGGAGUCUUCGUCGACCGAACCCAACGGCAAGAGGAGAAAAGCAGUUGGCCCGACGAUGCUUCCCCACCAUUGUCUCCCUCGCCGUUCACAUCGUCUCACGGGGCGGCUAUUUGCCGCCGAGGAAUAGGAGGGGGCUGCCCCCCCCCCCCAGCCCAAUAGUCGGGCAGGUUGGGAAUUGUCAGGAGGAGCUUAGGGUUGUCAGUAUUUGCAGGUUGUGAAUUGUGUUUUAUGUUGUGUAUUUUGAGAGUACUUUCAGAUAUGAAUGUCUUUUGAAUUUCAGAUUUUCAGUAUUGAGCAUAUAAAGUAUUUUAUGAAUUCUAGAAAUCUAUUUUUAGCACUUAAAAAAAUUUAGUUUCAUAGGAGUAUAAAAGUGCAGACAAUGUGAUUCUCAGAGAAGAAACUGCAAGUUCUGUUUCAGAUAAGAAACUGCAACUUUCAGAGGCAGAGCAUUUAUAUUAACACGGCCUUUUCAAACAGGGCUAACAUCAUGUUGCAAGUUUUAUUCAUGGUCGAAAAUGGAACUACCAGCCAGUUAACAUCAUGCUGAUCAACAUUCAUGCAUAGCACAUCUUCAUAUGAUGCACAGUCAAAAUGCCCACACAAUGUCGAGUGCGCGAAACACAGAGAAAACGAGGGACGAAGUUUUGGCAAGUGUUGGAUGUUGUUUUGGGCUGCCCCGUCUAGGCUUUCAUUUUUAACAUGCGCAGCCCACGGCCUCGGAUGGGAGGUCCAUAGGCCUGUUUGUAUUUUCUUAGGGCCGUCAUGUAUCGACCGACCUAUGGACCUCCCAUCCAAGGUUUUAUUUUUGGCAGCCCAAUUUAUGUAUUUUUUUUGAAGAAAACGCAGAGGUAUGUUCUAUUUUUCUAUAUAAGAAUAGGAACGCCAAGUCCAACUUAUGUUUCCCUUCUAACUAUAUUAUAUAUAUUUAAAUUAUUUUAUAUGUUGACUGUUUAGUUCACAUACUCCCUCCUUUUCGGUUGAUAGGGCUUAUCUCAAAAUUUUAGUUUUUCCAUUUUAUAAGGCUCAAUUUGGUUGUUUUCCAUCACAUGUUCAGAUUCCAAGGUGCAUUAAAUCAUUGCAUGCAAGUAUUAAGAGAAAAUUGACCAAUGCAUGUACUUUAUGCAUACAUGCAUUGCAAUUUAUGCAUUGAUAAACAUAAUUUUUUGAGGAAAACAAGUGCAUUAAUUAGGUGCUUUUGCAAACUACAAAAAGUAUUCCACCAUUCAUCAUCUACCUUGGUUGGUGAGAUUUUUGAAUUGAGCCCUAUAAACCGAAAAGAAGGGAGUAAUUGGCAAAUAGAUCUCGCUGCCACCCCCCGCCUCCUGACUCCGGGCGCGCCUGCCCCCCUCAACAAGUCCGCUCGCACGCCCCAUGGAGUCGCCGGCCAUAUCCACGGGGGAAUGGCUGGAAGACAGGUAGAUGUACAAGAUGCAUCUCCCACAUGUCUACAAAGCCUUCCCGCGGAUGCUCCAGCCGCUCAACUCCGUCACGCCGGCGGUGCUAUGGGAGACUCGAGGGAGGAGAUGGAGGGAGAGGGCGAUGCGGAUCCGCGACGACGCUCUCUCCUGGACCCAGUGCACGCGUGAAUGGAGGGAAGCAGAGGAGGAAGCUGCGAGGAAGGAAGCCGAGGAGGGACCUAAUCCGUUCUCUCACUCGCGUAGGUAUUCUCGGAUGUGCAAGGAUCAUGUGAAUUGGGAGCUGCUGAAUCUAGCCCUGUGGAUCUACUUCGAAGGAGAUUUCUCGGAGAAGCACAGGAUGCCCCACCCAAGUGAGCCGCCUAUUGCGUUUGUUCGAUGGGCGAAAGGAGAAGUGAAUUCAGGAGGUCCACGCCGUGCUGCGAGAUGGGAAUGCUUGACUGGACUCCUGCCCACCAGCACACCACCGGAGCCGGAGCUGGUGGAUCCCCUACCUUACCUCUCCCCCAAACCUGCAGAAGAUUGAAAUUAGGCUUGCAAUCUACUUCAAUUGAGUUGUCUGGUGGUUAUUUCUGCUACCUGAGAGACAACAUCUGGCUGGAGGAUGAGAAGGAACUAGGAACUCCGACGAAUUUCCCCUAUCACAAUGGGGGGAGCGCCGGUUGGGCAGUGGUACGGCCCACCUCCGCCCCAAAUGGGGGCACAAUCUAGGCAGACUCCUGUAAUUGCCCAAGAUCAAUCUGCUGGUGGUUCUGACUCUCAGAUCAGUGGGAAAUCUAAAGGCAAGAAUCAGCAAAAAAGAGAUAGGACAUCCAGAAAACUGCUCCUGCCCCUGCUUCGGGCCUUAUGGCAUACUCUAAGGUGAUCUGCUACAACUGUGGGGAACCAGGGCAUCAUUUCGAUAAAUGUGUCAAGCCCAAGAGUUGUUUUAUCUGUAAAAUGGUUACCCAUAAAGUUGAGAAUUGCCCUGUCAGAAGGAAAGCCCACAGUUCUGCUAGAUAUGUUGGAAGUGCUGCUCCAGGAUUAUGUCCACCAUUGACAGAAUUUUCGGUGACAUAAAAUUAGAUAGUUUCUUCCCCCUUUCUAGUUGUAGAGCUCUGCCCAGAUGUGGUAGUGACCACACUCCUUUGCUCUGGGAUUCUGGUCUUAACCAAACUCCAAAGAGCAAUAGUUUUAAAUUUGAAAAGUGGUGGUUGCUUAGAGAAGAUUUUACUGAGCUAGUCAAGAAAAUCUGGAAUAAGCCUACUAGGAGCAGCUGCCCCCUAGAAAAUUGGCAGAUCAAAAUCAGGAGAUUUAGAAGAACUACCAAAGGGUGGAACUCCAAUGAGGAAGCUAAUCUUAGAAGAUACAAAAGGCUUCUCCUCCUUGAGUUUGAUUCUCUAGAUAUUAAUUAAGGCAGAAACCACUGACCUCUGUGAGGCUGAGACUAAUAGAUUAAACUUUAUCCGUGGAGAGCUCAAGAAAAUUUGGCUUCAAGAAGAAAUCAAAGCCAAACAAAGGUCUAGAGAUAGGAACAUUAAGGAGGGUGAUAGAAAUACUGCUUACUUCCAUGCAGUAGCUAACCAGAGGAGGAGGAAAACCCUCAUUCACUCCCUUGAUGGCCCUAAUGGCCCUGUUACUGAGGUAGAUGAGAUGCUGAAAGUGGCUAGUGAUUUCUACAAAGACCUGUUUAAGAAAAAAACCCUUCUGGGUUCUCUCUAAAAAACAUUUUUUUCUCUGCUUCUGAAAAAGUCUCUCCUGCUGAAAAUGAGCUGCUAGAAGCCCCUUUUUCAAAGACAGAGGUGAAGGAAGCCAUUUUUAGCUCUUAUCCUGAUGGGGCUCCUGGUCCUGAUGGGAUUCCUUUCUUGUUUUACCAGCAUUUUUGGGACUUGGUGAAAAAUGAUCUCUUAGAUCUUUUCCAGCCUUUCAUAGAGGAGAGUUGGAUCCAGCAACUUACUCAUGGGGGGUCUAUUGGGGUCAAGUUAAAUAACUGUGAAAGUGAUUUUUUCCUUGCUGGUAAAGGCCUUAGGCAAGGUGACCCCAUCUCCCCGCUUUUGUUUAAUUUAGUAGUGGACAUUCUUACUAAAAUGCUGAGCUAAGCGGCUGAUCAUAGUCUGACUGCAGGGCUCUGUCCUGAGGUCUGCCCUGGUGGCAUCAUCUGCCUUCAAUAUGUAGAUGAUACCAUCCUUUUCUUAGACAAUGACUCCACACAUGCUAGCAAUCUAAAAACUGUUCUAACCUGGUCUGAACAAGUCUCAGGCAUGAGAAUCAACUACUCUAAAAGUGAACUCAUCCCUAUCAACAUGGAUGAUUAGGAGUUAGCUGACUUCCUCUCUAUUCUAGUCUGUAAUAAAGGUAACUUCCCCAUUAAGUACCUAGGUAUCCCUAUCAACAUGGAUGAUUAGGAGAGAGGAUAUCCAACCCUUCUGGAUAAAAUCAUUAAAAUGAUUGUUGGGUGAAGGGCAAACUUCUCUCUUACAGAGGUAGAUUGAUCCUCAUACAAGCUUGUUUGGCUAGCAUUUCAGUGUAUCUCCUCUCCUUCUUCAAGUUCCCUAAAUGGGCAAUGAACCUCAUCAAUUCUCAGAUGUCUCAUUGCUUGUGGAAUGAUUUUGAGGGAAAUAGGAAGCUACACCUUGCUAAUUGGGCCCUAGUCUCUAUGAAAAAAGAUUUUGGAGGCCUAGGCAUACCUAACCUCCAAGAAAUUAACAUCUGUCUUCUAGGGUCUUGGAUUAAAAGAUUCUAUGAGGAAAACCUGAAACCCUGGAAGCUUCUUAUUGCCCAUAAAUACCUAGGAAAUAAACCUAAUAUUUUUGUCCCUUCCUCCAACCCUAAGACCUCUAGAUUCUGGAAAGGAUUAAAAUCUAUUAUGUAUGCUGUGAAAUUUGGCUACAGAUGGAACAUAGGGUAUGAGAGCAAAACCAGGUUCAGGGAAGAUACUUGGUUUGGCACAUCCCCCCUAGCAGUCCAAUUUUGGCCUAUUUACUCUUUCUGCAAUGAGCUUAACAAAAGUGCCAAUGAAGUUUGGGACGGUCAAUGCCUAAAACUCUCUUUUAGAAGCAACUUUAGUGAUAGUCUCAUGGAACAAUGGUUCUAGUUGGAGGAAAUUGCCAAAAGCAUUACCUUUACUGCCGCGCCGGAUGCCCUGAUUUGGCAGCUGGAUAAUAAGGGGAAGUAUUCCUCCAGCUCCCUCUAUCAUGUUAUCAACUUUAGAGGGUUCAACCCGUGUUUAUCCCUGUGGUCUGGAAAUUGAGAGUUCCCCCUAAAAUUCAUGUAUUUCUCUGGCUUCUCUCCAAAAGCAAAUUGGUGACUAGGGAUAACCUUAGGAAGAGACACAUCAUCAAACCCCUUGAUUGUGUUUACUGCUUCGAACAAGAGUCUUGUUCUCACCUAUUUUUUGAAUGUAUAGUUGCUAAACAUCUCUGGGCCCACAUUGAGGAAUAUUUCUCUAGUCAGAUUGGCUCAUCCUUCAAAUCUAUCGCCAGAUUCUGGAUUGCUACCAAAAAGUGCUCAGUUUUAAACACUAUUAGCUCAGCUGUCCAUUCCGCAGGUCUUGAGGUUGAUCAGAAACAUGGUGAGGAAUUGGGCGAUUAUAUCCUCCGGAUCGGACAAGGACAAGUUGAUGAGCUUCGUGGAAACCCUAACAAGAUCCCUCCAUAAACCGUUGGCGAUCACUUGUGGCUGAACAAGGCUCGACCUGCUUUGGGGCUAGACCCGUGGGCUCGUCUCAAGAUCUCUGAUGAAGAUGAUGGGCACCUGGCGCCGAAAAAGAGGGACAUCCACCAUGGUACGCCUUCCAGCCCGAUGUCUCCGCUUGCUUACUGGUCGCCGCAGGCUGACACGACCCCUCGGCUAAAGACCAUGAAGGCUUCGCUGGACCCUCCUUGUGUCAUUUGAGUGCUCUAUCCGCUCUGCCUUUGGCACCACUCGGGUGAUUUGUGUUAUUCAGAGAACUUGUUCAUCCACCACCCCUAGUUUGUAGGUUUUCUACCUUUGCUUUCGAACUGCUCUUUGAGCUGCUGUAUCAGAAUAUGUUGUGGUUUCAUUCUCAGCAAUCGAACCGGGGAGAUGCUGCCUGUUUUUCUAAAAAAAAUAUUUUGUAUGUUAUUAUAUAUUAUUUUUAUUGUCAUCAUAUAUUUAAUAGAUACUUACAUAUGUAAGAAAACAAUAUCCCACAUCUUAUUAACUUAUAAAAAUAAUUUCUUAACAAAUAAAAUCCUGGAUUGUUUUGGCACGAAAAUCCUAGUGAUUGUGUACAAAAGCUUGGUAAGAUUUAAGGAUGAAUGUAAUAAUAUCACUUAUUAUUUCAAUAUAUUUAUAACAAAAUGCUCAGCCCUUUUUUAUUUUUUGAUAACAUUGCUGGCCCAACCCAACAUUAUAAUUAGAAUCAGCCCAGCAAAAUCGUGUAUUUCGAGAAAGUGCAAAUGGCCUGUAAUCUUUUAGGAAAUAAAAUAAACGGGCCGCAUGGACGCUACAUUAUUUGUUCACCCAGCCCAGCUAAUGGCUGUAAUUCAAAAAAAUCAAAUUGACUAUAAAUUCUACAGCGCAAAAAAAGACUAUAAAUUUUUGGAGGCUGAAAUGUGGGCCAAUAGGUCGAAGCCAAUGCAAGUCGUUGUCAAUUUAGUCAACAAAUGAUUCUGACAUGUUAGCCGUUGGAUUUACAUCCAAUGACCGGCAUCCAUCUUCAAUCUCUCGUCUUCUUUCGCCAGCGCCGUCGGGACCACCUCCCGCCUCCUGCUGCUACCAGCUCUGCUUAGCACGCUUCACUAUGAAGCGCUACUCCACCGUUGGCCAGGCCAUCCCUCCACCCCUCCACACCUCAUGUUCUUCUCCACCGACUGCCGAACCACACCGCACUAGAACCAGUUAACCCUCGUACACCUCUCUGUCUGUGACUCUAGUCCCGUGUCUUCCCAUCUCCGGCUCGUUCCUGUCUGGGACCUCGCCGUCGUCCACCACCUUGGAUGCGCUCGGCGUGGCGUGGUCAACGAACGACACCAUCGGAAGUAGACUGUGCGUGGAGAGGCUGUCAGCUGGGUCCAUGGCCGCACACAAGGAAAUGCCUCCUUAUUACGCGCAAAAUAAUGAUUCCUCCACCUGACAUCUGGGACCCACCGGAAGGUCCUCUGUAUUUCGCGAAAUAAAGUGCCCCCCGCUGACAUGUCGGACCCACCAGCUAUCUUCGCACGCAAGGAAGUGCCUCCUUAUUAUGCACAAAAAAAUGAAUAUUCCCCCUGCCAGCUGGAACCCAGCAUAGUGGGAGGCUGACUUGUGGGCCUACAAAGUUGACGGGGACGGAGGGCUUUGUCAACUUAGUCAAUAUGAACGAUUCUAGCUCCUGUUACCGUACGAUGUUCAUCCAACGGCCGUAGUGCUUCUUCAACCUCUGGUCUUCUUGCUCCAGCCGCCCAAACCAGCGCCGGUCGUGCCGUGUGCUCCUGCCUCCUGUGGCCGGCUGUGAUGCCGUGGAGGCCUCACCUCCCCCUACUACUCCCACCGCUGGCCAGGCCAUCCCUCUACUCACCCACACCCCUGUUAUUCUGCGGCGACAGCAGCCUCACACCACAGCCGAACCAGUGAACCCUCGUACUCCUCUUCGCGUGGGCAUCCACUAUUGCGUCUUCCCCGGCUCUGAGUCGUCCCCUUCCUAGUCCUCGCUGUUGUCCACCCCCCUGGUGCUCUCGGCGCGGCGUGGUCAACGACUGACUUCCAUCGGAAGAGUACUGUACAUGGAGAGGCUGACAACUGGGUCCAUAGCAGCCGCAAGGAAGUGCCUCCUUAUUACGCGGAAAAUAAUUAUUCCCCCACCUGACAGCGGGGACACACCGGACGGGCCACCAGUAUUUUCCGAAAAAAAUCGUUUCCCCCUGACUGCUAGGACCCACCGGAUAGGCCAUCAUAUUUCGUGAAAAAAAGUUCCCCCCGAUGUCAGCUCGGACCCACCGGAAGUGCCUCCUUAUUACGCACAAAAAAAUGAAUACUCCCCCGGCUAGCUGGGAACCACCUUGUUGGGAGGCUGACUUGUGGGCCUACUAAGUUGAUGGGGAUGAAGGGCUUUGUCAACUUAGUCAAUAUGAACGAUUCUAGCUCCCGUGACCGUACAAUGUCCAUCCAACGGCCAUAGUGCUUCUUCAACCUCCGGUCUUCUUGCUCCAGCCGCCCAAAGCAGCGCCGGUCAUGCCGCAUGAUCCUGCCUCCCGUGGCCGGCUGUGCUGCCGCAGAGGCCUCACCACCCCCUACUAUUCCCACCGCUGGCCAGGCCCUGCGGCGACAGCAGCCUCACACCGCAAUCGAACCAGUGAACCCUCGUAGUCCUCUCCGCGCGGGCUUCCACUGUCGCGUCGUCCCCUUCCUACGCCUCGCUGUCGUCCACCGCCGUGGUGCUCUCUGCGCGGCGUGGUCAACAUAGUCAAGGAAUGACUUCCAUCGGAAGAGUACUGUAUGUGGAGAGGCUGACAGCUGGGUCCACGACCACAACCCAGUUAUUUUGUGAUUUGCCAAGUAAGUCGCUUUGUCAGGCCUGUUGGGCUGCAAAUCUUUCAAGACGAGGAGAGCUUUCAUUCGGCUGGCAGAGAAAAUGGCCCAUCAGUAAUGAGAAAUGGGUUGUACAUUUCUAAAACACGUCAAACCGGCAAUUAGUUUCAAAUAUCUUUUUUUUCAUUUCAGGAUUUUAAAUUACAUUAAUUUUUAUGCGUGGAGAAUUUGUUGGAUUUUAUAUUGAUAUACAUUUAUUUUUAAAAUCAGUUUGAAUGUGAGUCGAAAUUUUGGGAUUAAAAACAGUUUGGACCGCACCGAAAUAUGCAAAAUAUUGUAUAAUUUUUUAACCGUUGCCACAAUAUGGGCUGUAAUGCUAACAAAAAGAAUAUGGGCUCCAAAAAACCUUAAGAAUUAGCAAAUGGGCUGUAAAUUAUUAGAAAUAAUGGCAGAUGGGUUGUAUGUUGUUUCCCACAUAUUUGAGGCUUUCCUAAAAAAGGUUGACGCACAAGCACUGACUGUUGCAUGUCCAUCCAACUGUCGUCGUGCUUCUUCAAUCUCUGCUCUUCCUGCUCUAGCCGCUCAAACAAGCGCCGGCGGGACUGCUUGCUCCCUCCUCCUCGCGGCCGGCUGUGCUGCCGCGCAGGCCUCACCGCCUGACCGUACUCCCAUCACUGGCCUAGCCAUCCCUCUACUCACCCACACCUGCUGUUAUUCUCCGGCGAUGGCAGACAAACCAGUAAACCCUCAUAUAGUCGUACUCCCCUCCACGUGGGAAACAACUGCCAAGUCUUCCCUGCCUUAGUGUCGUCCCCUUCCUAGGCCUCGUCGUCAUCCACCGCCCUGGUGCUCUCGGCGUGGCAUGGUCAACGUGGUCAAGGAACGACUUCCAUCGACGUGGAUUGUACGUGGAGAGGCUGACAGCUGGGUCCAUGGCCGCAGCAAGGAAGUGCCUCCUUAUUACGCGGAAAAUAAUGAUUCCUCCACCUGACAGUUGGGACCCAUCGGACGGGCCACUGUAUUUUUUGAAAAAAAACGUUUCCCCUGACUACUGGGACCCACCAGCUACAUCUUCGCACGCAAAGAAGUGCGUCUGGGAAAAAAUGAUUCGCCCCCUGACUGCUGGGACCGACCAGCUACAUCUUCGCAGGCAAGGAAGUGCCUGACAGUCGGGACCCACCUGGUCGAAGCGUACGUAGCGUUGUCAUUCCGGUCGCGAACGUGUACGUACAUACUGGUCGAUGUAGAGGCGCAGACGUGUCGUAGUAGAGGCGCGCAUGUGUCGUAGUAGAGGCGCACACGUAGCAUUUACACGUACCUAUAGCGGCCAGCGUGCAAGAAAGAAAAUAUGGACACGUAUGUGUACAUACGUGCGGGGUCUCGAACGCCUACUCGUGCAUACGUACGGCCAGGGCUCGUGUACAUGGCUGGGUCGGAACGGAGAAACAGCAUCGUCGUCGUGUUCAUGGGGAGGCAACGGAAUGCGUCGUGUUCAUGGGGAGGCAACGGAAUGCGUCGUGUUCAUGGGGAGGCAACAGAAUAUGUCGUGUUCAUCGGGAGGGCUUGGACGGAACAGGCGAUGGAAACGAGGCCUGGCGUACUGCAGAACGGAGGAAACGGCCUUGUGUUCGACCGGCCAUGUUCGAAACGGGAUCCUGUUCAUCGGGAGGGGUCUGGCGUUGUAACGCCCUCGAUGCGGCUAUAUCUCCUACGUGUCGAAGCACGACUUAGAGGCAUAACCGCAUUAAAAGCAAUGUCGCAAGUAAGGUAAUCUUCACAACGACCCAUGUAAAUAUAAAAAGGGGAAAGGAUACAUAGUUGGCUUACACUCGCCACGUCACACAAAUACAUGAAUAACAUUACAAUCAUCCAAUACACUCAUGGUCCGACUACGGUACCAAAAUAAAAGAUCAACCCCAACAUGUGACACGGUCCCCGAUCGCCCCAACUGGGCACCACUACUGAUCAUCCGGGAAAGACACAUAGUAAUGACGAGAGUCUUCAUCGAACUCCCACUUGAGCUCAAGUGCAUCGUCUAGAGCGGUAUCAUCGGUCCCUGCAUCUGGUUUGGAAGUAAUCUGUGAGUCACGGGGACUCACUAAUCUCGCACCCUCGCGAUCAAGACUAUUUAAGCUUAUAGGUAAGGCAAGGUAAUAUGUGGAGCUGCAUCAAGCGACUAGCAUAUAUGGUGGCUAUCCUGUUCGCAAAAGAGAGCGACAAGAGAAGGCAAAAGCACGGUCGAACAACUAUGAUCAAGAAGUGAUCCUAGAACAACCUAUGUCAAGCAUUACUCCAACACCGUGUUCACUUCCCGGACUCCGCCAAGAAGAGACCAUCACAGUUACACACGCGGUUGAUUCAUUUUAAUUAAGUUAAGUUUCAUGUUAUCUACAACUGGACAUUAACAAAUUCCCAUCUGCCCAUAACCGCGGGCACGACUUUUGAAAGUUCAAAUCCCUGCAGGGGAGUCCCUACUUAGCCCAUCACAAGCUCUCACGGAAAACGAAGGAUAUUCCUUCUCCCGAGACAUUCCGAUCAGACUCGGCAUCCCGGUUUUACAAGACAUUCUCGACAAUGGUAAAACAAGUCCAGCAACACCGCUUGAAUGUGCCGACAAAUCCCAAUAGGAGCUGCACAUAUCUCGUUCUCAGGGCACACUCAGAUGAGACAUCCUACGAGUAAAACCAACCCUCAAGUUGCCCCUGAGGUGGCCCCGCAGUCUACUCGGUCGGACCAACACUCAGAGGAACACUGGCCCAGGGGGGUUUAAAUAAAGAUGACCCUUGGGCUCCGAAAACCCAAGGGAAAAAGAGGCUAGGUGGCAAAUGGUAAAACCAAGAUUGAACAUUGCUGGAGGAGUUUUAUUCAAGGCGAACUGUCAAGGGGUUCCCUUUAUAACCCAACCGCGUAAGGAACGCAAAAUCCGGGAACAUAACACCGAUAUGACGGAAACUAGGUCGGCAAGAGUGGAACAAAACACUAGGCAAAAGGCCGAGCCUUCCACCCUUUACCAAGUAUAUAGGUGCGUUAAGAGAUACAAGAUAAUAUGGUGAUAUCCCAAUAAUAAACAAUGUUCCAACAAGGAAGGAUCUCCAAUCUUCACCUGCAACUAGCAACGCUAUAAGAGGGGCUGAGCAAAGCGGUAACAUAGACAAUCAACUGUUUGCUAGGACAUGGUGGGUUAGAGGUUUGACAUGGCAAUUUGGGAGGCGUGAUAAGCAAGUGGUAGGCAUCGUAGCAUAGGCAUAGCAAAAGAGCGAGCAUCUAGCAAGCAAAGAUAGAAGUGAUUUCGAGGGUAUGAUCAUCUUGCCUGCAAAGUUGUCAGAGUUGACUUGAUCCUCGUAAGCAAACUCAACGGGCUCCCUGUUAGCGAACUCGUCUCCCGGAUCUACCCAAACAAGACAAACAAGCAAAAGGAACAAAAUCAACCACGUGCAAUGCUCAAACAACAAGAUGCAAACAUGGUAUGCUAUGCGGGACGCGAUAUGUGAUGCAUAUGAAAGAUUUCACAAGGAAUGAUUUAACCUGGCCUCAACAUGGAAACCCAAGAGUUCCAAUGGAAAGGUGAGGUGAUUUCGGUUGAAAUAGAUAUAAGGAUCACCGGAAUCGGAUGCACGGUUUAGAAAUGGCAAGCAAAACAAAUAUGGCAUCGGUCUGCGAUAAUCAGCAAGUAGCCAUCUAAAUGCAUAAAGAUAAUUAUGAUACAACACUCAAUCAUGACAACAAAAUACAUGGCAGGGAUCCAUUCAUCAUGCUUGACAAAAGAUGAACACUGAGCUACGGCUAAUUCAUCCAUUAACAGGUCCAAACAAGCAUGGCAAAAAUGCAAACGAUAACAGGUUUCAGACUUAGUGAAAUUAACGCUAGUCUGGAAUUUAACAUCAGGAAGCACACUUUGGAGCAUGAAAACUACAUGCUACAGGAACUUAACAUGGCAAAACAAGACAUGGCAUGAAGCUACUCGAAGCACUUAACAAACGUACCUUAGUGACCUUGAGCCAAAAAGGAUCAGAAAAUACAAUUACAAGCAUGUGAACAUGGCAAAAACAUAAUCAGAUUACAGACUUAGUGAAAAACUGGAGCAUGCAAAUCUGUUAACGAGUAGGCAUGUUUACGAGCUCGAUGCACUCAGUACAAAGCAUGGCAUGACAAACUAAGCAUCCACCCAUCAAGAAUACAUGGCAUAGAAGCUAGCCAUGGAAAGAACAGCAACAUAGCAUGCACGGAUCAAUAGCAACAUCCUCGGCAAAAUCGCUAACAAGUCAACAAUCUGCCAGGAUUCACGAAAUAGCAAAAGUAGAGCUCGAUUGACUCAAGCUAGAGUGCUCCAUAAAUGCAAACAAAGACACGGAUGGAUAGAGCACCACAAUGUUAACAAAUCAUCCUUACUGAUCAUCCUUAAAAUAGGCACGAAUCACUAGGAAACAACAAGAACAUAUGGUAUAACGACGAAAUCAGGACAAUGACUUAGUGAAAUUCUAAGUCCCUAAAAUCAGCAUGACCGACUGCACUACUUUGCAAGCUUGUGCUAGUCACCACACAUAUCACAAAAAUACAUGGUAAGCACCUCUGUAAAGAUGGCAUGGCAUAUAACAAAACUCAUGUAGAUCUCGGGAGCAUAUCAUGCACACAUUAAUCAUGGCAAAAAUGACAAAUAGCUAUUUGAUGUAGCAGAUUUGACAAAUUUAUCACAUAGCCGUCUUCCAACAGCAUUUCGGGCAUCAAAAUGAGCUCAAAUAAAAAUGAUGCAAUGCGAUGAAAUGAUGUACUCAUUGAGACGAUCAUUUUGAUGCGGAUUGUGUGAUUUUGUGAAGUGGCCUUGCUAACUCAAGCACUGAUUGCAAGUGGAUUGUGUGAUCUUCAAGAGAGGCACACUAGAAAGAAAUGGCUCUGCUCGCUUAGAGAAGGGCCUCUGCGCUCUAUCAGCUAUCAGUUAGUUGGCUCUACGCGCGACUUCAGUUGACAAAAGCGAACAAGAUAGCGCUAGCGCCCACGGAGAACUUUCGUUUGUUCGCCUUCUAAAAGGCCUACUGACCUGCCGGUGAAAAGCCGGUUACAAAACAAAUAAUAAGACGUAGUGAAAAAGUACCAAAACAACUGAAGCCUACAUCCCCCUACGUCUGGGUUCCCCCUUCCUAUGAACCUUGAGUCAAUAGGUAGGGUCAACUAUACCAAAGUGGAAGGGCCACUAUCUAAGCUAUUAGUGGGCUGGUUUGAACUAUUGAUUUACUGAAUCGAGUGAAGCUGUGUUGCAUAACAUAUAGGUCGCCAAGGCCUAGAAGUACAAGUGGUCGCCCUAACGGUCACUCUCAAACUCACUACUUGAGUGACGAAAGUCACUUAGCUUCUUUAAUAGGGCUUGCCAAAGAACCCCUCCAGGGCCCCGGGAAGAGGAAGAAGGAGAUAGAGCAAAGGUCUCCUCUUUCUGUCCGCUCUUCCCGGCAUGUAGAGAUCUGAUUGGGCUUAUAGUUUAAUUGGUUGAAACAUACCGCUCAUAACGGUGAUAUUGUAGGUUCGAGCCCUACUAAGCCCAUCUGACCUUCUUAAUCAAUGACUCCGGUAGUCACCUGAACCACUCUCUCGGAUAGCCCAUAGCCUCUCUUCUGGAUGCGAAAGAAGAUUCGAUCAACGUACAAGGUUUGCCUUCUUGUGAGAAGGAGGGUUCUGAAUUGUGUUCUCAGUGCAAAGGGAGUCUUUGAGAAGGUUCCGUUUUUCUGAAGAGAGAGAAGAUCAGUAGAGCAGUCCGGCAGCUGUUCGGGGGUCAGCUUUGGGAUUUUCCUGAUCGACCCCUACAGUGUAUUAAUCUAAAAAAUGAAGAUUGACAUUCGUCAAUUUACCAGAUCUAUCCUCUUCUACUAACUUUACAAAAUGGAAGGGAAAAUGUGAAGACCAAAGAUGUCAACUACUAAGCAUAGUCAAUUGCAAAUCGGCCGGUUGGUUUGCUUCUCUCCAAGUAUGGGAGAUUUUCCAAUCUUCGAAAGACGCUCGUACUUUCUUGAUCUUAUGAAGAAGGGGCUUUCCUUAGCUGCGGACUUUGGGAUCUUGAGAGUAGACCAUGUCUUACGUUAGGGAAUCCCAAUCAAUCCAAAUCCUCUGACACUCCUUUUCAGCUGCUAUUUGAAUACAUGUUCAGAUGCAAAAGAGCUCGACUUCGAGUAUGGUCUUGUUCUUAACUGCUUGAGAGAACGCAUAUAUCCCCUUUUUAUUGCUAAACCUCCACAAGCCUUCCCAUGCUCGCUAAUUGAACCGUCCGUCUUCAUCUUAAUCCAUUCGUUUCCCGGUGGUCAACACACAAUAGAAUAUGUUUGUUUUUGAUUGGAUUGAGACAAAAGUACCAUUUUUUAGGAUGUUCGCCGAUUCUUCCUCUUCUUUCUCUCAUAAAACUAGAGAUACUAGCUUCUAAUCUGCAUAUUUUUGCAAAUCCUUUUCCAUUUGGAUUUUUGAAAACAUUAACUUACCUCUAGAAUUCCACUAUAUAUAAUGUUGACGUUCCGGCAAAAUGUGCCAGAGCGAGUGAAAGGCAAGCCUACCCACGGUGUUAACUUGCCAUCCCCAAAAAAUCUGCUAGCAGUCCAUUCGAGUUCCGCUUGGAAACAAGAAGCUCUUCUUUAUUUGCAUUUUUUUGCCCAAGAUAAGCCCAUUUUCCAGAGCGAAGCCUAUUAUAAGAGUUCAACUGCCAUAUUCGGAUGGAGUCCAAAUGCUUGCAUCUUGGGCUGAAGAAUGACCCAAUUCCUUAGCUUCCAUGCAUUAAUCAUAUCCGGGGAUGUGGGAAUAGGGAGAUGCCAUCCAUCUACACGACACGAUAGCUUAAGCAAAGAAUAGAGAGAGCUAAGCUAGAAUACAAACAAAAAAGAUAUUCCACUAGCGUAGGCCUACCAUAGAAAAGUCUAAAAAAACCUUUUCUUUGUCUGUGAGCGGGAGAGAAAGCAAGCUUACGGUGCUUUGGAUGUUAAUGUUUUUGUAGGAUACUAAACACCUAUAUAUAUACAUUGUUUUAUACUCCUCUGUACAAGCGUAUAAGAGCUAUUAUGCUCGAUAAAAGGAAGUUUAUGAAUAAGUAAGUCUUUCUUUUUUGAAUAGCCGGUGGGAGAACUUACUUUUCCGGCUAUCGUAUGAACAAUGCCGCCUGCUUUUCUUUUUUGAGUUUCCAUGGAUCUCUCCGACGAAGUAGCGGAAGCAUGAAAUGCUAUUCACGAAUGAGCAUUGCUAUCUGAUUCCUACAAAAGAGAUAGGGAAGCUCACUUUUGUGAAAUGGGGCUAGAAAGCAUAGAACCCCGUCUUAAAUCAGCCGGUGAAUCCAGAAUCAAAGUGAGGAAAACAUGAUAUGUUAUGAGAAGAGUGACGUGGGAAUAGAUUGCAUUUCAAAAAGAAUCUAUACACUCAAUAAGCCAGAACGAGAAGAUUCAACUGCAAAAAGAACUGGUACGGUGUGAGAAGAGGCCUAUUCUCAAUAAUGAACAAGAUGAUGCAGCUCUAGUUGUUGGAGGCAGAGGACGUGAACGCGGCAGGAAUAGAUCCAGGGGGAGGACGCGAAUAAAAAAGGCUAUGAGGAUCAUAAAAAUUGAGGUGGAGGGAGAUUGUAUAACUAAGGAGCGAGUAGAGGAAGACGUCAGUCUUUCAGUUGUAGAUGAUCAUUACCGAAAAAGAUGUACAUUCGAAUGAAAAAAGAGGGCCUGUCCGAGAGGAAAUAAAGAAUAUUCAUUUGCAGAUUCUUCCGAACAAGCAACGGAUUGAGCAAUUGCGCAUUAGCGCAUCCAUUUUCUUGCUCAGGAACGAGGGGACUAAAAAAAUUGUCAAAAGCCAUCUUUCUCUUUAACUAACUAAGUAUUCUUAAAAAUAUGUAUGUCUAUGAGGUAUUUUGACUUAAUGGGAAGUAGGCAUCUCAUUCAUAGGCAAGAGCAGGCCGGCCUGAAGGCAUGAACUGAAGGCAGGCAAGAAGGCAUUAAAUGGCUUUUAAGGAUUCGGUGUAAAGAUGCGGAGUACAUUAUCUUUCUUUCUAUAAAAAUAUAUGGAAUCCGCGAUCCUAUCCUAUUUUUGAAGUCAUUUUUUCAUUCGAAAUUAUUUUAUUUCGCAAGAGCAUUCAAACAUAGAUUGAAGAUCUUUAGUUCUUCGGUCGGCAGCCGCAGUCAGUAAUAGCAAGCAGCGUCCCAUACUACUUUUCCUUUGAAUGUUCAUUCUGGAAUUGAAUGUCACAAACAAGACUCAUACUUCAGAAAAAAACUGCUUGAAUCAGGAGCUGUAAUCCGCAGCUUUAGAGAUAGGGGCGGCGGUCACAACAUUGGCAGCAGUGAGCAGAGGUCAAGAAGAAGAAGCGGUAAGAGCAGUUAGAGAUCAAGCAGCGGCUCAUCAAACCUUUCUGUUUCGGUUACAGCUCAAGCGGUUUGUUUUCAAGUAAGGUACUCAAGCAAGCUUUCCUCCUGAAGACAGAGUUCCGGGUGAGCUAAGAAAGAAAGUCAGCAGUUAACCGGAAAUUUAGGUCAAAUUAGCAUUUUGUAAGUUUUAGUAAGGCCAGUUAUGGGAAGCAGGCCAUGGAGAAAGAGAGGAAUCAAUCGUCCAACGCUAUGUUAACAAAUACAUGAAAGGUUUGAUUAUUCCAUACACUUGAACACAUUCCUUAUCAAUAGGUUUCGGAGAGACGAGCAAUGAUUGCUUGACGAUCUUCACUGCAUGAGACUAGACUUGACUCAAGCUUCAUACGAAAGCAUUUACUGAACUAAAGUCGUUGAGCCAAGUCAAGCGAAAGACUUAUUCGAAGAAAGCUUUAAGAGAGUUUGUUGUCCCAUGCCUUUCUGAUGGUGAACCUCCUACUGCUUCUUCCAAUUCUGAAACUAGGAUUAGCCUGUUGACUUUGCCCUUCCUUUAGAAAAAGAGCCCCCAGUUUCGCCAAAAGACCUCUGCGUGUUGUCAUUCAACUCCACACAAGCCUGUCGUUGGGCUACUUGCGUCUUCAGCAGAUACAAAGGAGAAGUGACGGUCGGUGAAAUAGCCCUCCAACUCGUAGCUCUUCUUGCUUAACGUGAAAACUCUCCUUUCCGAUGAAAACAAGAAAGAAAGAUGUCAACUACUAAAUGUGCUGCUUUGUGAAUUUGAUACUAGGUAGUUCUCCCCCUCGGCAGGCAAGUAGCCUUUGCGACUUACAUCUCUGCUACAGGAGGGUAUGAACCCCCGGAUCUAGGCGAGGUGAUGGCGGUGAACUCCAACAGGUUUUGGUUUCCUCCUCACUGAUUGAUGGAGCCCAAGACUGCUUGACGACUUUCGGUGUGGGGUCAGCUUGAGCCGAGGUCGUCUCGUAACAGGAACAGGAAGAAUAGCAAACAAGCACACAAGCAGGAAUAUGAAUAUUGGCUGUCACUAUCCUAUGGUUAGCAAUCAACUACGGAGCUGACAACUCACAAGCCAGCAAGUCAACCUCUGUCAGAUCUUCGGCCCAGUUUAUGGACGAAACUGACUCUACUUCCUCAUUCAGGCUGAUAUGAACUGCAAAAGUUUUCAUCUUUAGCGUGGAUAUUGUAGGUAUAAAUGAAAGAAACUGGAAUCAGGAAGUUGUUUCUUUCUCUCGAUACGCAGAGGGGAGAGCAUGCCCUGUCUUAGGCAGUAUAUCAGUCGUUAACGAUCUUACCGGGACACAUCCAAUUGAAACUAGAAUCCCAACCUCUUUGGAAGAAGCUCCAAAUAGAAAAAAAUUCACAGCGGGGAAUCUUCCUACAAACUAAAAUGUGUUAAAUAUAUAUAUACCUACCUCUGCCUAGAAAAACUGGAGUUUCAGGCACCCUCGUGGGAGACAUGGGAUGUUGUCAACCGGCCUUAAAAUGCUCAUAAACAGCUCUUCCCCCUUUGACUUAGUUUUUGCUCUCCUUUGUUUCUAGUAGAAAAAGCCUGAUCCUACUUUGCGAGUCCAACAGGUCUAGUAUUCUUUUCUUUUUCGUCUGAGGGAACGUGGUAGCCCUGAUCUAGCUAAGACUUGAGAUUCCAUUCUAUUUCAUUCUGAUCUCGUUAUGAGGAAAUAGGAGAGGCGAGGCUAAGACAAGAUAUGGGACUUCCCGCGCUAAGUUGUUCCAAUCUCUAUACUUAAGUAACCGAACUCGAAAGUGCUGCUAUGAGCUAGAUUUGUGCGUACAAGGGUAAAGAAGCGAGCAAGGCUACCUUUCUGCUGGAAAUCCUAUACCUGAGUGCUAUUUGAUCAGAGUGAGUUGUAAUUGAGCUUGAUUUACUUGCUCUUCUAUUUGCAUUUUUUGUUAAGUAUGUGGGUGACUCAUCGUCGUGAGAUCGGUUGGUUGAAAAUUCUUUUCAAGUAGUCUCAGUCGGCGAACUCGGCUCCAUAGAAGAAGUCAGUAGUGAAUCAAAGAACUCAUGCAUGUAAUCAGUGACUAGGGAUCGAUCAAUCGGAUGCAACUGAGCCAUACAAAAAGAAUUGGAAAAGGGAUGACGCAAGAGCAGCGGAAGGUGACUUAGCAACAUCAGUCAUUUCCUAUAGAAAGGAAGGAAAGGAUCUCUCUUCUGUCUAGAUGAAAGAUCUCAUUUUUGCUACCGCUCUCCCUCUUAUGAGUCUCUGUCAGCCGUUGUUUAGUAGCUUUCAACGCGAGUUCAGUCAUUCUCUUAUAUACUGAAAAGUACGAACUGACUUAAAGCACGAACAUGAAGGAAAGGCUGAAUUCGAAACAUCUUGAAUCGGAUUCUCUCUUCUCAGAGAGCUUGAGAGUGAAAUGAGUGGGCCGGCCAAAGAAGACCACUAUGGAAGUGAAAGGGGAGGGCAAGAGCGGUUCGAAGACCAUAACCCGAUGUGGG